ACCUGAAUUAUAUCCCCAACAUUGAUGAUAUAAGCAUCUGGGGUGGGCUUCACUCGAAUCCAUUCUCCAUCGGUUUUUCGCUUUACUUCCAACCCUCCGACAUCAUCCUGGCCAAGGAUGGUUAAGGCUCCGGGAUCCUUGUGGCGACCAACGCCCAGAGCUAGGUGAGGGACAGGGCAAGGUGGGUAGUGAUUGAGGCGGACGAAGCUCGUUGAUUCUUCAAAGAAAAGAUUGAAUCUGUUUUCUGGCAAACCUAAGCUCAGAGAGAUGAGUCCCAUCAGCUUGAAAGCUAGUUUUUCCGUUUCUCUAGCAUAUUCUUCACAGAUCUCCCUGUAUAAAUCAGUUCAAUUAGAAUAAAAAAAACCAAGUAAUUCACUGAAGUGACUGUGCCUUAGCUGGUGAAAUUUGUACCUUAAUUCAGGAGGGUACUGAGGCCACCGAUUGGUCAGCUCUAUGAGCUCCUUGUCGUCAGGAUCAUCCGAAGCAGGGCCGAAGGCGAGGGUUCUCACCACGAAAUCAAAGACUUCUUUCCAGUCCCUAACGUUCUUGGUAUGCUCAAUAUCAAAGUACCCCAUAGGAUUCACCUCAUCUCUACUCACCUUCCUCUUCUCCUCCGCUGGCAGAGCGAAGAACUUCCUCGCGGCAUCCAAAAUUUUCCGGCGAGACUCCGAGGGCACCCCAUGGUUGAUGACUUGAAAAAAGCCCCAGUUCUUGCAUGCAUCAGCUAUUUGAGAAACAUGAUUGGAAGCAUUGGCGGAAGAGAGAUCAAUGAGGGGGAUGCCUUCAGCUUCGAUAACAGCGAGCUUAGGCCUAUGUUGGGCGUCUUGGACGAAGGCUGGAUCGACCUCUCCCAUGGCUGUGGUAGUGGUUAGAACUUAGAAAUGGCAAUUAUGCACUGGUAGCUGCAGGUGAAGAUGGUUACAGGACUUGGGCAACUCGGCAGGUGGUUUUUAUAGCUUAGGGGUGUUGGUUUAAUACCUUGAACCUGGACAUAAUAUGGGUUACGUGUUAAGUUUUAGUUCGGGGUGUGAGCUCAUGGAUUGCGCAUAUGUUAAUGAGAUUUGGUCAAGUGAUACCUAGCUAUUUCCAAAAUCUCUGUCAAUGAUUUAUUCACGGCACCCUCAAUUUUCAAAUAUUUCAUCCGUACUUGAUUUGGAAGGUUGAUUAGUAAAUCUGAUGGUGUAAUGUCUAUUUUUGAAUUCAAUGCUUUAUAUUUAACGGUGGAGAUAAGAAAAAUAGAAGAGUUGAUAACGUUGAAGAAAAAAUGCCAAAGUUUUAAGAAGGUAGAGUUUUGAUGAGAAAUAGGUAAAAUUAAAAUUGCAUUAUAAUAAUAUAAUUGAAUCAAAUCGUUAAUCACCCAUUUCAUCUCAUUCUUAUUCACAAUUGUUGAUAGUUGAUUCCUACAAAAUUCUAAAAAAAUCUUCCACAAAGACAAAUCACAAGAUGUUCAAUAACUAUGCUUUUGCACCAAAAAUUGUAUAAGGGAAAAAAAAAUGAUGCACAAAUAAUAAUAAUAAUAAUAAUAAUUGCUAUAUCUAAUAUUAUUUCAUAAGAAAACUAACUACAAUAAAUUUUAAAAGCAAAUAGCGUUUAACCAUAUUUUGAUUCUUUCAAAUAAUUUUUAAAAUUAAUAUUUUUUCAAUAUAAAAUUUUAAGAGUCUUUGUAUUUUAUAUAUAAAUUACUAAUAUUCUCUUAUUUUAAACAUAGAAAAUAAAAAUGUAACCAAAUGAAUUAGAAAAUAACAAAGUUGAAUAAAAAUUAGUCUAACCAUAUUAAUGCUAAUUAAUAAUGUUUGAUAGAAAACGCUUAAAUAUACCUUGUAUUUUUCCUCACUGGUCAACUCCUCCGAAGGCUUCACAUUCACCUGGUGUGUCGGUAAGAAGAAGAAUGGAAUCGAAACCCUUUUCUUCUUGUGUUGACCCACAUCGAGAUCGAGCUGUGUCUUUACAUCUUUAGUUGAGUUUGUUCGACUUUAAGUUGUGCCUUUAUGUUUCGAGUUUAGUUUGUUCAAUUUCGAGUUGUGCCUUUAUGUUUUGAGUUGAGUCUAUUUGGCUUCGAGUCACACCUUUAUGUUUCGAGUUAAGUCUCGCUUCGAGUCACACCUUUACGUUUCAAGUUGAGUCUCUUUAGCUUUGAACUGCACCUUUAUAUAUCUAGUUGAGUUUGUUUGACUUUUGAGUCGUGCCUUUGAGUUUUUAGUUUAGUCUGUGCGGCUUCGAGCCACACCUUUAUGUCUCUUGUUAAGUCAUAUUUGGCUUCGUUCUACACCUUUAUUGUUCAGCUUUGAGUCAUGCCUAUCUUUUCAAGUUUGUUAUGCUUCGAGCCACAUCUUUAUCCUUAAAAAGUUUGUUUGAGUUUAGUUGUGCCCUCACCCAUAUCCUUAGUUUUAAGUUUAUUUAGCUUCAAGCCAUGCGUUUGUCCUUGUUAAGUCAGUUCGGCUUUGAGCCAUGUCCUAGUUUUGAGUUUGUUCAUCCUCGAGCUGUAUCUUCCUUUCUUUUUUAGUUCAUUUAGGGUUUUCUCCUUUUGAGUUGAUCACUCCUUAUCUUGGUCGUCCUUAAAUUGUUCAUUGUGUCAUGAUUCAGUGUUUUUCAUUGCAUAUAUACUCCCCACAUUGUCUAUAUCUUUAUCUUGAUGAGUUUCUUCUCCAAUACAUGACCUCGAUCUUCGAGUUUAGCAUGUCAUGUGCUAAGACAAUUUCAAGUGCUCUUUUGUUCUUUGAUGCAAUUCACUUCAUACUAUUCAUCACUCAUGUUUCACUAUUAAUGCUCAUUUCAUUUGUGAUCUACAUCGGAGAGAGGCAUAUUUGUAGGUCCUUUAUUUUGUCCUAUAACACAUAUUUUCACAUUUUUUUUAUUUUUUUCUUGCCUUGUAUUUAUUUUUGGUGCUAGUUUUGGAUCAUUCUUACUUGAUCAUUCAUGGUCCCUUUCUUGUCCACUUUUACUCGACUCAUUAUUCAUUUUUUAGCCACAUUUUAGAGGCCAUGUUGGAGGAAUUUUGAGUCCAAGCUUAUUGUUUUUUAGAGACCCUUAGUAGGUGGCUCAUAUGAGGACACGUGUCCUCAUUGGGUAGGUUUUUUCAUUUUUUAAGAGGGGUUUUCUAGAGGCUUCUAGGGUACUGAGGACACUGUUCUCAUCUUGGCCCCCUUUUUUUUUUUUUCUUUUUUUUGUCCCUUGUUAGAGGGGUUUUCUAGAGGCUUCUAGGAUCAGCUAGGAGAGCACGUUGAUUGAUGCUUUGAUAUGGGUAACAGAUGCCACAUUUCAUCUUGCUGAACACCGGUUAGCUAUGGACUUGUUACUACUUUUCUCUUCUGUUUCGAGUUAACUUUGGAAAUGAAUCUGAAUAUAGACUGGUAUUUGCAGCUUGAUGUUUAGAGAAUCAUAUUUUAGCUGUUGUUUAAAAUUCAUUUUGGCAUGUUCGGUUGCUUCAAGCUCAUUGAUACAAUAAUGAAAUGAAGCUUUAUAUAUUUGUUACUGGGUUGGCUCUCUGUUUGGUUAUCUUUAAGUUCUGCAUCUUUUCUUUUCUCGUUGCCUUAUCUUCUCUAGGGGGUGUCGUUUGAGAAAUACAUAGUGGAAGAAAUGGGAAGCUGAAGGCUUAUCCUGGCAUCGACCUCGCGUUAGGGAACGACUUGAUCGAAGAACAUAUGAGUUUUUCAGAUACCCAGAACUCACAUCAAAAGAAGCCUCGGAGUUUAGGUCAAACACAUCAUCUGACAAGGAGUAUACCUUUGCCUCUGGUGAUUUUAUUGACUUCUGCAUGAUGGACAUCCGAGGGUGGGGACUGGAAGAGAAAUGAUGAAUCUGCCCGGCCAAGAUAGUUUGUCUAGAAAGGAACUUGUAUUAAAUGAUGGUUACCCACUAUGUUAGAUGCUGAAAUUUGGGUAUGAGUACUCCCGGUGGCAUCAGAAAGAUGAGUUGCACAAUCCUUCUCACAGUAGAAAGCCUGAACUCCGAAGUUGGGCUUUUUCAUGGCCGGACAAGAGGAGUGAUCACAAUAGUGCGAGCAAAGCCUGUCACGACCCAAAUUCUGGGUGAACUUAAGGUUUGACUUUUAAGGGUUGUACCUAUUCAAUCUACCAAUCAACCUUUGAUAACUUGAUUUUUUUUUCUCGAUAAAACAAUAUCUAAUCCCAAAUCAAUUUAUUAAGCUAAUAACUUGAUUUUUUUUUUUUUCAAUAAAACAACAUCUAAUCCCAAAUUAAUUUAUUAAGUUAAGAUUUACACUAUCAUAUUAUUUUAUUUUAUUUUUCAAAAAUCAAUCAUUACACUAUCACUUAUUCACAAGUAUAAUAAAUCUCUCAAACAUCUUAUCACCCAAAAUGAUAAGCCAAACAUUUACAAAAAAAAAGUUUUACAAAUUAAUAAAAUAUAGUGUAAGUUAUAAAAGUUCUUAUAAAUCAAAUUAAUAGUGCUAAAAUAUAAUAUAAUUGAAAAACAACUAUUAUUAUGGUUCUUUUACUUUUUGGAAUACUUCUUAUGGUUCCUUAAAAACUAUAUCUGCAUCUAAAAAUUUUAGAAAAUAAAAGGAUGAGUAUUUCCACAUUACUUAGUAAGGUGUUUUACGCCCACACAAAAUAUAAAUUCUAAUUCAAUAAAACACAAUCAUAUAUCAAAGUGUAAUUUUACAUCUAAUGUACUACAACUAUAUACAUUUAAACUAUUCAAAAUUAUCACUAACUAUAAUCAGACUCCAAAUAAUAUAAAUAAUAUUUAUUUUCUCCCAAAAACAUAAUAUGUAAUUUUGUUUCAAAAAAAAAUAUUAAAUAAAAGUUUUAGGGUUAAACCACCCUACAUUAAAUCUGAAAAUCUAACUGUUAAAACUAAAAUCAGAUUCCGUGAAAAUGUUCUUUACGUUAAAUAGAGUGUUCUAAAAUCUCAUACAAAACGGAGCUCAUUAUUUCUUCUCUUCCUUUGUGUUUCCGUUUGCGCUCUCUCUUUUAUAUUCUUCUUUCUUACCCCACAAGACAUUCCUAUUAUUAUUAUUUUUUUUCAUUUUUCUUUUCUCUCUCUUUUCAACUUUAAGCCACCGUUUUGCCCCUUUUUUUUUUUUUUUUAUUAUUCUUUAUCAACCAUACCUUGUUAAGAAAUUUAUUUAUUUUAAUCCAAAAAUCUACUUAAAUAUAAUUUCACAUUUUUCUUAAUAAAUUAUAUAUAUAUAUAUAUAUAUAUAUAUAUAUAUAUAUAUAUAUAUAUAUAUAUAUUAUUUCUUAUUAUAACAAAUUUAAAAUGUCACGCGUAUCAUUUUUUUAAUGAAUCAAAUUAUUAUUAUUUAUUUCAUAUUCUAUAAUUAUAAAUUAUACUCAAUAUAUGAUUUACUGUCUUACAAAAAAUAUUAUUAUAUUCUUAAUUAAAUUUACUACAAGUCUACUUUUUUUAAAAAAAAUAAUUUGACUUUAAUCACUUAAAAUAUUUUUAUUAUGAAAUUCAUUUAGGACAUGAUUUCAUUAAUUAUAUAUUAAAAAAAAAUUCAAUUUUAGAAAAAAUCUAAAGCAUAAAAUAAUUCUUCAACAUUAAGAAGCUAGAAUUCAUAAUAAUAUUUAAUCCUUUAAUUUUACCAAUAUUUAUUUACCAAUAAAAUUUAAGCAAUAUUCUAAAACUUAAUUCCAUUAGUUAUUUAGUCAUUCAAUUUAUACAAAUCAUAUUCUCAACCUUUGAUAUAACUUUUAUUUAAUUUACUUUAUUUUUCAAAUUUCUCAAUUGAAUCAAAAUUUCAAAAGUUAAAUUCACUAAGUAUUUAAUUAAUUUAGCCUUUUAUAUUCCCUAAAUUCAUAUAUCAUAAUUUACUCUUAAUUUAAUUUCAAUUCAAUUUUAUUUGAUGUUUUUUUAAUUCUAUAAGAUUUAAUUCUAAUUAUAAAAUUAUUGAUUUGUUAUAAAAUUAAAUUCGAUUUUUUUUAAUUAUCCAUUAUAACCAUUUGAUAUGAUAUAAAUUUUUACCAAGUUUUUCUCACUACAAUUCUCUAUAAUUAAAUUAAUGCUCAUAAUAUACUUAAUAUUCAAUUUUUCAAAAAUAAUAUCAAUAAUUAUUUGAUGGUUGAAUUUUUCUCCAAAUUUAAAUUUAUUUUUUAAAAUUUCUACUCUUUGCAUCUUACCUAAGAAAAUUUUAUACUAUUGACUUUUUAUUAACUUUUUCAAAAUAUUAACACUUGGAUUUUCGCCAUUCUUUUUUACUAUUCGACUAUAUGAUAACUUUGCUGAUCCUGAAUCUGACAUGUCAUUAAAACCCCGGUUGUUAUAGCGCCAGUCAAAUUAAGCCUGUUAUCCGAGGAGUGAAGCCACUGCCUUGUUCUUUCUCCGAUGGCCUGCUCAGCUCAUUCAAUCCCCAUCGCUCUCCUCUUUCCAAGUUCUCCAUUGUCAGUCUAGAGCCAACAAGGGUCGCAGAAAUCCUAAAGAUUGACCUACAUGGUAUUGUGAGUACCGCGAUGUGGAUGUUCUUAAUGUGUUGUCUACUAGAGCCAAAUGGGUGUUUGAUAAAACCCAGUAAAGGUGUAAAAAUUAUAUGACGAAGCUUGCAGAAAGACUUAGAGUUGAGGGAAGGCAUCUCAACGAAGUUGGGCUUUUGUAUUGUGAAUCUGGCAAAUUACCUAUAUUGCAUGGAUCAUCACUCUUUUCACGUGGAGGUAAACAGGUCCUUUGUAAUGUGACACUUGGGGCAUCACAAGCUGGUGAUGCUCAACGACUGGCUUCUCUGGACGGUCCUGCAACAAAGCGCUUCAUGCUUCACUGAAAUUUCCCGGAGUUCUCAAUUAAUGAAGUUGGCCAACUCCUUAACCUGCACUGUUCCGCAGCAGUCACAUAAAGAUUUGACAUUGAAAUUGAUCUGGUUUUUCCUUUGCCAAUGGUGGUGGGCGCUUUGUAUGUAGAUUCCGAAGGAACUUCCCAACUUGAUGGCUGUGAGUGGUAAGGUUGGAGAAGAUACUACUGGGUCUGCCCCAUUAGUUUUCCAUUGUUAAGGUAGUUUGGUGCACAGGUUCCUGGAUCAUCUACACCACUAGCACUUCCGGCCGCCUGUUUUGAUCAGUUUCUGGAUUUCCAUCUCCAAAUUGUGCAAGCAGUGACUGAUAUGGUGUCCAUACAAGCGGCUACUGAAAUGGUUCAAUCCCCAAAUGCUGAAGGGAAAGGAGCUUUUGGAAAAUAUCAUGAAGAAGACUCAUCCAUCUUACAUGAAAUUAUACACAACUCCAUGGACCAGAACCGGAACUCAGACUUAAAUUUGUCCACGAGAAGAUCAGUGUUAUACAAGUCAACUGCAGUCAUUCCUGAAAGAAGUGAUCAGAAGAGUAAACCUGGAAAAGCAGUGAGUGUAACAAGUUUUGUGACAUUGAACAAUUUGCAGAUGGUGUUCCCACAAGCUCCUUUCCCCUCUUCCCACGUGCAUGAAAUUCCUACGUGCAUGGGCCACCUUCUUAGGUGUGCAAUUCUGCGCAUAAUGCUCAAGUGUACUACCACCCUCUUCUUUUUUGAAAAAUUGAUUUUAAAUUUAAAUUUUUGACAAAAUUCAUUCCCCUUUUAAAAUCCCUCCUCAGUAAUUCUCUUCAAAUUAAUAAAAUCUAUUUUCAAUAAAUUUUUGCUGCCAUUUUCCUUUCGGCAUGGACCCUUUUUCUAUUUUCUUUGAUUUUUAAUAAUUUUCCAAUUUUUUUUAAUAAAUAUGAAUAAAUUCUAUGUUUUUAAAAAUAAUGGAAUUUUCUCCAAAUUUCUAUUAUCUUUUUCUCCAUGAUCAUUAGGAAGAUGAAAUUCCUAAAAUUAAUUCAUGCAAAUAAAUUGGACAUUGGUAGGCCCAACAUAUGAUUUUUUCUCCUUUGAUUAUUGUUUUUAAUUGCUAGGCUUGAUUGACUAACGAUUGAUCUUUGCCUUCUCCCUUAGCUUACUGCUCAAGUACGUUCGUCCUUUCUUUGCCUCUUUGUUUAAUUAUAGUCAAUGUUUUCAAAAUCGGACCGAUCAUUGAAUCGGAAAAGUUACUGGUUCACAGUUCACUAGUCGAAUCGGUGGUCGAACUGCGGUCGAAUCGAUGACGUCAUAAAUAUAUAAUUUAUAAAUUAUUAAAAUUAAAAAUAAUUAUAAAAAUAAAAAAAAUAAUUUAUAUGUUAUUUGAAAAUUUAAAUUUUAUUUAAAAAUAAGAAAAUUAGUUUCAAAUUAGAAAUUAAAAUUAAAAUCAUAAUUUUAAAUUUAAUUUUAAAAUUUUAAAAUUCAUUUUUAAAUAAAAACUUAUUUUAAAAUCAUGAAUUUAUUUAAAAUUAUAAUGUUUUCAUUAAUUUAAAUUAAAAUCAUAAGUUUUAAACAUCAUGAAAUAAAAAUAAUAAAUAUAAAAGAAAAUAAAUAAUAAUGAAAUGAGGUAAUAAAUAAUUAAAAAAAAAAUGGAAAAAGAGAGGAGAGGAGCACACAAAAAAGGGUUCCAACGGGGUUUUGGGGGGUGGGGUUUCCACUUUUAGGGCUAGGUGGGGGGGCCUUCCGAUGGGCAAAAAGGGGAAGAGCUUUUCGGCUUUUCCAGCGCGCGCGGGUGGGGGUGGCGACAAUGGGAAAAAAAAAAGUUGAAUCGGACGAUUCCAUCUGAAUAAUCCGGUUCAUUGGUCGGACCACCGAUUUAAUUGGUCCAAUUCUGGUCUAACCACUUUCUAGCCCAAUUGAUCAGACCAGACCGAAAUCAUGACUGAUUGAUUCGGUCCAAUUUUUAAAACCAUAAUUAUAACUCAAUCAUAAUACAUCAUUGAUCAUUACUUGGUAUUUGUUGACUUUCUAAUCAAUUGUCAUUCUUAUAUUAACUUGAUUAUUAGAGACUUGAUUUUAGGGUAUAGAGGGGUGUUAUGACUAAUCAUCCUACCUUCUCGAUAAGUAACCUGACCCUUGAACCCAAAUUCAGUUUUUCAUAAACUUGUCUUUUUCUUUCAAGUUUCAUACUUAGAAUUUUCAUUUUUAUUUUGUUUUCCAUUUAAAAAUAAAAUAAAGAUAAGUGGCCUAAAACCAUUUUCUAAAAAUCAAUUUUUCAUCAAUGCAAAGUGAGUCUUGUCCUUUUUUUUUCAAGUACGAACACGAUCGCAGGUUUACAAUACUAUUUUAAUAUAUAUAAUGAAAUAUAGAUAUUAACGCCAUCUUAAAGAUAUAAUUAAAUUUUUUGUUUAAAAUAAAUUAUAAUAAUUUAAAAAUAAUAUUUUAUUUAAAAUAAAUUUUAGAAUAAGCAAAGUUGAUAUGUGGACAUAGAGAAUCGUGAACCAUUGUAAAUGUAUUGAUUAUAUCUCUUUCUUCCCAUUUCAUUUUUACUUUAGUUUUUAUUAUUCGUAUCUUUUUCUACUAAAAUUUGAAAAAGAAAUUCACAUUCAAUUCAUUCACUUCUUCUUGGGUGUAUAUCAUAGGAUUCAAAAUGUUUUUAAAAAUUAUUAAAUUUGUUAAUUGUGACUACAUGCUUAUUUAGGAUCCAUUGAUCUUAAUAACUUUCUUCCCGAUAAAGGAGGAAAAUGACUAUUCCAUUAAUGCAGCAUGCAUUGCUGCUUAUUUAUCAAGCAAAUUACAUUAUUUUUUUCACACCAAACCUCAAAAUUCUCCAUGCAUAUACGCAUCCUAUACUGCAUGGCCAACUUCAGAGAGCUAAAAGAAGCUCUUAUUGAAUACAUGAUAGAUAAUGUCCCACUGACCCUUUUACUCUGAUACCUUGAAAUGAGAAAUUUGGAGGUUUUCCACAUCAAGCUUCUUGAAAUUAUUGCGCCUUCUCGUAACAAAGAACUUUCCCCAGUUGUAUGCUCUAUACUUUGGCUUUUCCCCCUUCGUCAGCUCCUCCAAGGGCUUCACCCAAACAUGGUGCCCGGGACUCAAAACGAACGGAAUCGAGAACCUUUACCUCUCUGAAUUCUCCAUCACCCUGUGCUCCACACUUUCAUAAGUAUCGUUGCUCCAGACCUGGUUUAAUAUCAGUAGAAUUAGCCAAAUGAGUGUAAAAUUCCUUGAGCCAAACAGUACUGAUAAGCAUGUACUUAUAAUUCAAAGUUCUUGGGUGGUACCUGAACUAUAUCCCCAACAUUGAUGAUAUAAGCAUCUGGGGUGGGCUUAACUCGAACCCAUUCUCCAUCGGUUUUUCGAUUUACUUCCAACCCUCCAACAUCAUCCUGAGCAAGGAAAGUUAAGGCUCCGGAAUCCUUGUGGCGACCAACGCCCAGAGCUAGGUGAGGAAUGGAGCAAGGUGGGUAGUGAUUGAGGCGGAUGAAGUUUGUUGAUUCUUCAUUCAGGGAUUAUUUCAUCCCUUUUAACCAAAUAUUUAACAUGAUCAAAGACUAUUCCCUAAAUGAAGGCAUACUGUAGCAAAUACCCUUAAUCUGAACAUUGAAAGUACAACUUAAACUAGUAUCAAACACUCUGUUUUUAAACCCAUAGCUACUCCAAAUAUCCCAAAUACUCUUUUCUAUGUAACCUCUCUUUGUCUCUUUCUCGCUCACACACACAUGCUUCCCCACAAAAAUACAUACACACAUAGAGAAGAACACAAUCUCUUAUCCGAUUCCCUUCCGAUUUAUGAUUCUAAGCUGGCGGGUCACUCUCUUAUUCUUUUGCUUUCUUGCGAUGGAGCUCCAUGCUCUCCUUUCCUCAUUUUUUUUCUUGGAUAAAUACUCUAUAAAACAUCCUCUCUCGAUGCUCUAUCUAAACUCACUUGCUCAUUUCACAUUUUUUUCUUUUUGGAUGCUUUCUUUAUGCUCCCAGGCAUAUGCCAGUUUUUUAUGACUAUUUUUGAAGUUGGGAUUCAGAAUUCACUAAAAUCUUUUCUCAAACUUGGAUUUUUCUCAACUCAACCCUAACUUCUUUUCUAUCAGUACCAAGGCUAGAGAAUAUAGUUUAUACCCUUGUAUUUCGUUAUGUACCAAGCCCACAAGAUGAUCAAUAAGUUUCUCUCUAGAUUUUACAUUGGAGUUGAUUGAUGACAUACCCUUAUUAGGUACUAUAUUCUCUUCCUUAGGUAUUGCUUUUUCCUUCCUUAGAUACUACCUUUGCAACCUUGGGUGCACGAUCGAAUCCAUCGUUUCAUGGCCACUUCAAGUAAGUCAGGAACUUAUGUACAUGUGUGCUACAUGUCUUAUAGGUAUUACCUUUACAUUCUGUAGGUACUACCUUUACCUUCCAUAGGUACAAAUAUGAUUAAUAAUAAGAAUUUUAACAUAAAAAAGGGAAAAAUCAUGUCUGAUAAUAAAAUUGCAUAUAUUUUCUUUCUUGCUUUUUUUUUUUUUUUUGGGUCUUUGCUUUGGUUUUUAUUUAUGUGUUUGUUUCUUUUAGUCUUUGUGUGUGUGUGUGUUUUAUUUUAUUUUAUUUUUUUCAUCCCUAUGCAGAAGAUGUAGAGGAAGCAACAUCACAUCAUAAGGUGCAUUUUUCUGUUCAUUUAAGCCUAAAGGUUCUGGAUUCACAAAAUGGUGGGAACUAAGGGUGAGAAACUGGAAAAAAAAAUGUUGGAUUGAGCUACAUUUGAUCAAUAGUGAAUUUGCAAAAAAGAUUGUAGGAGAGGUUUCUUGAGGUGGACAAGGUCAGAAGCAAGGAGCCUUUUCCUAGUUUUUGGGAAGAACUUAUUGUUAACGUGUGAAUUCAUUAAGGGUAAUUUAUGUAAGAUUUUCUAGAUUUUGCAAGUGAAUGCACCUUAGCUUUUCCUAUUGUAUUUGUGUUUUUUUAGGUUGAUUAUUUUAUUGAUCGUCACCACUCAAGGAAUGGAAGCAAUAGGGUCUCUAGAUGUACUGCGUAAAGGCGGGCAUACAGGCGUUGUUAGGAAUGUGUUUCCCAUGUCCAACAAGCAUAUUGACACCACCUAAAGCCAAGGCAUCUUUGGACGAGGAGUUCUAGCUUCUACUUCUGUGGACUUUGUAGAUGUCGUCUGGCUCUUCUAAAUAUUUAUUGUUAUGUAGUAGUUAUACACAUGUACUUUGUUUAAGUGAAUUGAUUAUUGGAUUUUUAGUUAAAUCAAAUUUAAGGGUAUGUUGUUUAAUUUACUAGUGAUCUCUUGUUUGUAAUUCUCGUUAUCAUAUAUAAAUCUUUGUUAGCAUUUUCCAAUUUCCUCAAUAGCAACUAUAUUAGUUUUCAGUGGAAUGAAUCUUGAGUAACUUGUAGUAUCAUUUUUGGUUUUGAAUUGACUAAUCUGUUUUGGAAGGAUGAAUUAGAUAUAUGAGCUUGAUUGCUAACAGUAGUUGAGUUUGUUUUGAUCUCGGGAUAUUUGCCUUGUUGAAUAGGACGUAGAUUUUGGGUCCAAAGAGUUGAAAAUUGAUGAGCUUAACCAAGACAUAGGAGAACCACAUGCAACACUAACCAGAGUUCCUACAACAAGCUAAUAACCAUGAUUUAGAAAUGUGAUUUCGUUAAAGGGAAGCAUUUCUAAUCUUAUUUGAAAGGAAACUUUGAUGUCUUCCCUAAUACACUAGAAUAUUAAUUUAAAAACAACAAUUAAGGUUAUAUUAACUAUUAUAAUAAUUUAUAAAUUAUAUAAAUAUGAUAAUAACUAUUAAAAUGAAAGUAUUAAAUGUAAAAAAGUUUAAUCUUGUUGGGUAAAAACUUCAUCAAUCUUUUAUUAUUGAACUUCUAUUAUAUAAUCAAACAUAGUGAUGAUCCUCGGUUGGAUUAAUCAACACUUGUUUCAUAAAUUGAACAACAUAUAACAUGAUCAACCAUAAACAAACAAGUAAACAUCAUACUAGAUAAAACUAUCUCUUAAGAUUUCUAUUAUUACAUGUUUAAAUUACAAAUCAUAUUUUUGCAACUUUCGUAAAAUUAUGCAAUAGAUAUGAUUAAAAUUACGAAACAUCGGAAAUGUAUAUUGAUUCAUUAUUCAGAUUCAUCAUAUCAUAUAUAUCCUUUAGUAGUCCAUAAGAUCAAAUAAUAACCAAAAUUCAAAAAAUAUGUUUUAUGAUCCAAAAUUGAUUGACACUAAUAUCAUUUGUUAAAUAAACUUUAUGUGAAAUAAUUAUUUUGGAAAAUCAAUUUGGAUGCAUAAUGCAUAAUAGGUAUAAGAAAUAAAGAAAUGACAAAAUAAUAAUUAUAUUCUUGUCUUAAUCCAUGAUACUGAUAACACUUGUAAUGUGAAUUUGAGUCAUUUUGUGAAUUGUUGGGUCAAGGUCUUCAACUCACCAUUCUCAUUUAGUAGAUGAGUCAAUUGUGUGGUAUAUGUUGUUAUAAGUAAAACAACUAAAAACAUAAGAAUGCAAUGUGACUUAGGACCUUAACUUUAUAAAAAAGAUUUAUAACUCUUAAUAUUCUCAUAAAAGAUUAUAUGAAAGUUAUACUCAUUAUUUAUAAACAUUAUACACAGAUUAAUGGACAAUGGUAAACUACCAACUUGAAUACAUUCAUGUAAUUGUAUAAAUUACACUUUUUCAUCUUCCUCUAUUAGUCAUAAACUUUAUGUACAAAUGAAAUCUCAUAAAGAUGGAGUUACACAAGUUGUAAUACCAUAUUCUUAUAAAUGAAAUUUUUCUAACUCUGUAUUUAUAAUUUUAAUCUUCUAUGUUAGAAGUUGAAUUUGUUCCACGUCGCCAAGUUAUUGGGUUAUUAUGUUGUUCAUAUAUGUAGAUUGGUCACCUCUCCAAGCUAGCUUUUGGGAAUGAAUUCUAUUCAAACCCAUUUAACAUGGUAUCAGAGCUUGGUUUGACUGUGGGUUGUGGGUUCGAGCCACCUCUCUGCAAUUCGCAUGUUUGUUCCUUAUUUGCAUGUUUGGAAGUCUAGAAAAGGUUAUUUGCAUUUGUUUGUCUCUUCACGUGUGGAUAUGGGACCACACAUAAGAGAGGGUGUUAAAAAGCUUGAUAUGUACGUAUAUUGAACCUAAAUCUUAUAAGUUUAAGCUUUUAGGAAAAUUAGUAAUUCAACAUUCUAUACAUAAAAUUAUUUGAUGUCCAAUCAAUUGAUUCACCUACCUAUCAAUUAAUAUACUUUUAAAUAAAAUAUAUUUCAAUCCAUUACACAAAUAUAAUUAAAACAAAAUACUAUAGUAAUGUGAGUAUGUGAUAAAUAAAUAAAAUAAAAAUAAUCACGUGUUACAUGUAAACUAUAUUCAAAGGAAAAACCCACUAUUAAACAAUCCAUUGUAUAAUGAUCAAUUACAAAGACCAAGUAUUACCAAACUUAAAAGUAUCUAAAUCAUACUCACUUUGCACAUUUUCUUUAUACUUGGAUCCUUUAAACACAUUUAUCCCAAUGUGGAUGCAUCUUGAGUUCUAAUCAAGGAAAUCAACCUUUGAGUAAAAUUUUCAUCAAGUUAAAGUCUCUUUAUAUCAUUGAGAACCAUAUCAAGAUUUCUUUUUGUUGGUUGCUUUCAAAGUCCCACUAGAAUUAGAAUGAACAUUUUAUAAAUUCUAGGACUUUAACAUAUGAAUUCUUCAAUGAGUCAAUCAAAUAUUAAAUUUUAUCUCCAUAGAUGGACCUCAAUGAAUUUUUCAACAAAUUAAAGGUGUUAACACUAAUUUCAUAUUAGAAAAAAAAAAAAAAUCAUGUGACACAUAUUGAUAUAUAUAUAUAUAUAUAUAUAUAUAUAUAUAUAGGUGUUGUCUGGGAUAAAUAGAUUGAAUUCAUGAGAAAAUUAUUCUUAAUUUUGUAAAAAUUAUAUAUAUAAGAAAGUUUUUAGACUUACUAAAACACAUUACUAAUCAAGUGGUAAUAUUUAUAUCUCAUUAUUUUGUAAUCAAGUCUCAUUCAUUUGUAUCACAUAUGAGUCCUAUUAUUUUAUACCUUACUCUUAUUAUAUUGUACUUUGAUCUUAUUUGUUUAUACAUCGAUUUCAUUUCUUUAUAUGUUCAUCAUAUUUAUUUAUAUCUCGAUCUUAAUUAUUUAUAUCUUUCAAUAGUUUAGAUUUCAAUACAUAUUUUUAAAUAUUUUAAUUGGAAAUUCAAUAUCUUACUAUUUUUCUAAAUAGCUACCUAUAAUCCUUUGUAGACUCAAAAUUCACUUCAAGCCAUCAAAAAAAUCGACCUCUCUUUGUAAGUUGCUAUACUCAUUGCUAAACUAUAAUUCCAAAAAUAGCAGAACUUUUCAUACUUAUUCUAGGCAAUUAGAGUCGAGAUGUUCCAGGCAUAUACCAUUGUCUUUCAAGAUUUGAAAGAAAUGUUACGAUUUCAGCAUGAAAUAAUGCAUGUCGAUUAACAAUAUUGCUCAGAUUCUUUAGGCAAAGGUCCCAGCCUAGAGAUUGAUAAUGUUUCUUUGAAGCAAAAUGACAAAAUGGAAUAACACAAGAAAGCCAGAACCAAUUAAGUGUCCACAGACAAAAAAAUUUAUUUAUUUAUUUUCUGAACCACCCCUGAAAUUGACACCUCCCAUACAGUCUGCAUUUCUGUGGCACUAUUUCCCUUAUUCCUAACCAUAAAUCUGCUGCCAUCUCAAUAAUUCACAUCCUUAUCCACUCCUUAUCUAGGGUUGUAACACUUUUUUCAAAAAGAUUUUUUUUUUUUUUUUUCUAAGGGGUGGAUAAGGGUCCUGAGACAAGCUGUGGAAUAAUUAUAAACCCACUUGGGUAAUGGUUUCAUUGUCAGGGUAAUACUAUUUAAGGUGAAAAUCAGCUGGGUCUAUCAUUCUUGUUUCCAUAUGACUGUUUCCAAGGAUAACUCAACCUUCAAAUCCAUCGAGCAGUCAUAUAAAAAUACACGCAGAUUUCAUAUUUUGAAGCUUGUCCUGUGUUCAGAUCGGAUAACUCACUCAUAUGCCUAAUCACCAAUCGCCAACUUGAGCGUAAAAAAAGCGUGGGGCGAUAUUAUUUGUAUAUGGGUUUGACUGUUUGAGAGAGAAAGGUGGGGUGUCCCUUGGAGGAGUCCAAAGGCCAUUUUUGAACCUGCCUUUGAUUAUCGCCAUGGCAAAUCAACAGCUUGUAGUGUAUAUAUAUAUAUAUAUAUAUAUUAAUGGAGACCAAGACUCAAAUAGAGAGAGAGACGCGGGAUGCGAUAAAGAGAACAGUAUAGCCAAGAGUAUAUAAGCAUUUCUAUUGCUGUAAUGGUGAUUCAGAGACUGGAAAUGUGUAUAUCACUGCUGAAAAUGGCAGUAGAGUUUGUGCUUGUUUUCGCGGAGGCAGUCGGGCUAGUCAUCAACCACAAUGCCACGCCGCUUUUGGCAAACUCAGCCUCAGUUGGCAAUGAUGUUUCUGUCCCUUUUAUCGGUUUUCUUCUUUGAAUUCUUCGUCUUGUAGUUUCCUUCCUUAGCAGAAUGCCCAUUGGCCAUUGUAUACGUUGAGGUUUCAUUUUUGUCUUGAUAGAUUUUGCCUUGGAAAGUGUCUGUACUACCAGCUAAAAGAUGUGAAUGUUUGAUAGGAGAGAGUACAUAUAACAUCUUUGUAAACUUCGAUUAAUUUUGGUUCUGGGUGAGCUUCAUCUUCUGCAAAUUCAUUUGCUGGUAGCUUUGGAAAUGAAUCUUCAGUGGUUUGGGUGGUGAUUAUUUGCUUGCUUCACACGAUUUUAUGUGUUGUUCCUUUGGUAAUAAUCUUGUUGGAUGGAUCAAGGAGGAGCGAUGAUCAGGAAAAUAAAGUCGGGAGAAAGAAAAGAUAUAAUGAUGAUUAAGAAAGGCUUUAAUAUACUUGCAAGAUCAGGAAAAAAUAUUUCUUGGUUAAUCAAUUAUUUUCUUGCUUGAUAUGGGUUUGAUACUUUUUGUCAAUUGGUGAUCAUUCUGGGAAGAUCAGGAAGAAGAAAAUGGGGUCUAGAUGAAGAAAAGCUAUAAUGGUGAUUAUUAAUUGAAAUCAGAUGAAAUAAAAGUCUGUUUCCAUCAUUCUUAAUAGGGUUUCAUAGUCCCCGCAGGACUUUAGUACUCAUCAAACUCAUAAAUUUUGAACAACUUUGAGCUAACCUUCUGCAUUAAUUUGGUGCAUCUGCGCAGUUGCAGAGUAUGAACACCCACAAAAUCUUAAUAUGAAUCUUUUGGGGCAAUAGCUUCUAUAUAUGAUGGAUGAUAAGAACAAAGCAAAUCUUGGGUUCUCCAUGGCCACGAUCAUUUAUCCGCCAUAUAAAAUGCAGAUUUUCCUAACACCAACCCCUUAUUUUAAUAAAGUCAAGUUAUUUUAAGGCCCCCAUUAUUAGACAUGCCCUAGAAGCAUUGGGUCUGUGAUUAAAAAAAUGUAGUAAUAUCAUUUAAAAUAUCUAACACUGAAAUUUUGAUAAUUUUGAAUGUCAUAGUGUGGAUUUGAAGAAAGAAAUCGUAUCCAAGAUCUCUUCCUUUUCCUGGGAAACAUUAGUCUUGGUCAAUUAUGAACUGUUACACGUUACCUAUCAUGAUCAUAUUUAUAUUAGCUUUGAUUUCUAUGGGGGUUAUAAUUUAUUUGUAUGCUAAUCAUAGAGGUGAUACAUGUGAUCCACAUGUCAUAUUUGGACUUGGAACCAAUCAUUGGAUUCCUUUGAUGAACUGGCAAUGGAAGAAUACUAAUUGCUCCGGUCCCUUUCUUUUUUCAACGUAGGAUGAUCAGGUCCUUUGAUCUCUUCCACACCCACUGGCUGUUUUUCUUUGUUCCUUUUUCAAUCAUCCAUAGCUGAAAAGCCUUGAUGCCCUCCUUGACUUUCCCAAGAUAAAACACCUUAUCUUCACUUUCUUUCUUUUCCCUUUAAAUUUGAUUUUAGAUCUGAAAUCCAGGGCUUAUGACCCUGUAGAAGAAAGACAGAUAUGAAGCUUGGGAUGAUUUGAACUUCAGUUUGAUUUUCUGCACACUGUUUAAAACUCCUGAAAUAUAGUUGUAUAUUGCAAUACAUUUAUAAUUGAUACAACUGAACCAUGAUGUUUCUAUUAGUAAAAAUUUCUUUGAAUCAAUCCACAGUUCAAAGUACCAAUUUCAAUUGAAACUUUUUUCUUUUCCUGCUUAUUCAAUUGUUUCGUUUUCCACAUAAUGGUAUGACAACAUCAAGAAUACUUCUCAGCAAUUGCCUGCAGGUGAACCCAAAGCUCUUUUGGCUGAGACAUCAUGACCAUGUGAUCAGAUCCUUUAAUCUCUUUAACAGCAUCAGGUGGGUUUUCUUCGAUCAUCCAGAGUUGAAAAUCCUUUUUCGCCAGCUUGUCUUCCUCAGAAAUAAUAAAGACACGUUUAACCGAGGCAUAUUUCUUCGACAACAUGAGAUCCUUUGACAUGUCUUCUUCACUGAACAAGCGUAAGGGUCUCAUCAACAUAGUCCCUAGUGCCAAGUCCUGGAAAAUUUGUGCCCAAAAUGAUAUAACAACAACAAUGAAAAGUCUCAUGAUUUUGGCUGUAAGGCCUGAAUUAAUGAAGUUCUCACCUCAGUUGGGCUCAACUGAUACACAUUCAGUGAUGAGAACAAGGGGCCAAAGGUGAAAGUGGUGGGAGGAUUGUUGGGGCCAUUAUCAUAUGUGAACUGGCUGUCUAGUAGAGGACCUUGUCUCCUGAGUGACUUCAAUAAGAAGUAGAAACCAGGCUAAAAGUCAGAAACAGGGGAAGCCUUCCCCUCUUAAUCAACAAGUAAAUUUCUGUAAAAGAAAAAUAGUAUGUAUGAAGUACCUCUUGAUUGAGAGUGGAAAUGUUGAGAGUGGGACCAGGCAUUGAGGCAGUAACAAAAACAGCUACAGAAACCUUUUCUGGGAACUUCUCCAUGGCCUGAGAAAUGGCCAACCCACCCAAGCUGUGUCCAACGAGAACCACCCUUUCAUCUGCAGGGAGUGACUCCAUGAAGUCCCUCAGUGGCUGGAAAUACUCAGAAAUAGAUCGCAGAUCACCCACUUGUUUUGGGUUAAUUCCAGAAGCAGCCAAGUCCAGAGCAGUGACUUUGUGGCCAGAUGAUUUUAGUAGUGCCACAAUCUUGUACCAAGACCAGGCACCAUGGCAAGACCCAUGAACUAGAACAUAGUGCUUGACGGGAUUAGCCUGUCUCCCCUCUGAUGCCAUUGAAUACACUGAAGAAACAAGAAAAAUCAGAAAGGAAACUAAAAUCGUAUGCUUCUUCCUUUCCUGCGUACUCCUUUCCUGUUACAGAGAUGGUCAGCACCCAAGCAUUUUAAAGGGCACAAUUGGCUUUCACUACAACUACUAAUCUAAUGGAUUAAAAUUUUUCCUGUGAAAUUGACUCUAGAAAUAAAAUAAGGAUUAAGGAUUCAAGAAUAUGUACACAUAGACUGCCAGGGUUUAAAAGAUGACACAUGCACCUGCGUCACACUCUUUUUCAAUGAUAAAGAAGUUAUGCAAAGGAAGAAAGAAUGAAAUAUACAGAGUCUAGUAGUUAACUCCUCCCCUUGAAUUCUUCUGUUGCCCGGAUUGGUUUGUAACUGCAAACAUUUUCUUUUCCCAAUGUGAUCUGUGGAUUGAGUUCUGAUCUCAAUUUGUUUUUGGCAUUUUUGGUUUUGCUUCUGCAAAUCUUGAGAUGUAUCUUUCAAUUAAUAUAAGUAAGUUAUGCAGUAAAGGUUUUUGGACAUAUAAAAUGUUAGCCAAACCUUUCCCAUGGCGGGUUGAAGGUACUUUGGGGUAGGCUUGGUCACGCUUGAUACCUCAAUCGGACUGAAACAUGAUGUUUUCACCCAUUUGAAUUGGUCAAAGCUGUGUUGACUGGCAUGAUUCCUUUAAUAAAGAAGUUGUUUUUGGAUUAAGGCCUACAACACCAAUUUCACUUAAAUACAUCUAUUUAAUAAUUAUGUAUUAACAUAAUUAUAAUCAAUUGAGUCGAAAACAAUUAAAUUAAAAAGUUAAUUAUAUUGACUUAAAUAAAAUCUGACUCAACCAGAUUAUUAAAUAAAUUACUCAACUUAUUACAUGUUUAAUAAUUAAGUCGUAUUUGGGUUUAUACUUUUAACUCAAUUAUUAUUCAUGUUAUAUUUGUGUUGACUUAUUAAGUCACAGUAUCUAAAUUUAAUUUGAUAUGACAUGAACACUACCCACCAACAUUAAUUGUAUCCCCUGUUUUAAGUUCCGGUGGCAUCAUGAGUUUGGCCUCUGUUUUGAGUGUUGAAUUAACCUUUCCCAUGGUUGUCAAGUUCUUCAUAAAUUAUUGGUGAUUGUAAUAAUUUCCUCAUAAAUUAAUGGCGCUAUAUGCUUCUUUAGGAUCCAUUGAUCUUACUAAUUCUCUUCCUGGUAUGGGAAGAAAAUGACUCUUCCAUUAAUGCAGCAUGCAUUGCUACUUAUUUAUCAAGCAAAUUACAUUAUUAUUUUCACACCAAACCUCCAAAUUCAUCAUGUACUUAUCCUAUAUACUACAUGGUGAACUUUAGAGAGCUAAAACAAGCUCUUCUUGAUUAAAGAUAGAUAAUGUCCUAUUGACCUUUUUACUUUGAUGCCUUGAAAUGAGAAAUUUGGAUGUUUUCUACAUCAAGCUUCUUGAAAUUAUUGUGCUUUCUCGUAGUAAAGAAUUUUCCCAAGUUGUGUACUUUGGCUUUUCCCCCUUUGUCAUCUCCUCCAAGGGUUGCACCCAAACACGGUGUUCGGGAUUGAAAAAGAACGGAAUCAAAAACCUUUCCCUCUCUGAAUUCACCAUCACCCUAUGCUCCACACUCUCAUAAGUAUCGUUGCUCCAUACCUGAUUUAAUAUCAAGAUAAUUAGACAAAUGGGUGUGUAAAAUUCCUUGAGCCAAACUGUACUGAUAAGCAAGUACUAAAGACGAUACAGGCUUUGAGAGUUAAAGGUCGUUCUUUCUAUAAAUCAAGGCAAUAAGUAUAUAUACAACAUACAACAUAGUUGCUGUUACAGGCUUACCAAAUUAAUUCCACAAUAAAGGAAACUAUACAUGGUUGGUUACCAAAACAAAAAUAGGAGAUUAGCUAUACAUAUUACUAAAAUAUAGGAUUUGAUAAAGAUUGAAGUGGACUUUCAAAUGAACCAUUUUCCUUAUCAUGACCCCUCAAGAUAGACUUCGAUUGAAUGCCUAGCUUGACGCACAAGUGUUGUAGAUGAGCUAAGGAUUGUGGCUUUGUUAAGGCAUCAACAAGUUGAUCCGCGAAAGCAAAAUGAGGCACGCGAAAAGUGUAAUCUUGAACUCACAAAAUGAAAAUAAAUAGCAAUAUGCUUCAUCCAAAAUGUAAAAUUAGGUUGGCGCAUAAGUAGGUGGUACCGACAUUAUCACAAUAGAUUGGCAUGGGUUUGGGAACUGAAAUACCCAACUCAAGUAAUAGGGAGUUAAGCCAAAGAAGUUUGGAAGAAGUUGUAGCUACAACAUGAUACUCUACCUCAGUUGAGGAACGGGCAACAAAUGUUGCUUCUUUGAACUCCAAGAAAUGACAUUAUGACCUAAAAACACAACAUGAGCACUAGUUAAAGUACGAUCAUCACGAUCACCAAUCCAAUCUACAUCGGAGAAGGCAUGAAGGCUAAGAGGGGAUCCUUUUCGAAGAAACAAACAAUGAUGCGUUGUACCUUUAAGAUAACGGAGAAGAUGUUUGAGUGCCAACCAGUGAGUGGUAGUAAGUCUAUGCAUGAAUUGAGAGAGUUUAUUGAUUGAGAAAGCAAUGUUUGGUUGAGUGAAGAAGAGGUACCGAAGACCACCAACAAUAGAUCGAUACUUAGUCGAAUUGGUCAAGGAUGUGCCAUCCACAAGGCUAGGUAUCUGAGAUGUUGACAUAGGAGUUGUGAAUGACUUGGAAUCCAUCAUUUUUGUGUGCUCCAAAAGAUCUAAAACAUAUUUGUGUUGAGAAAGAAAGAGACCAAAUGAGCUUGGAAUAACUUCAACCCCUAAAAAAUAAGAGGCAACACCUAAAUCUUUAAUGGAGAACCGAGUAGCAAGUGUGUGAACAAAAUGAUUGAGAGUACCAUCAUCAUUGCUAGUAACAAUAAUAUCAUCAACAUACACAAGUAGGAAAAUGGUAAAUAGAGACUUCUUAUGGAUGGACAAUGAAGUGUCAAAUUUGGGGUAGAAACUGCUUCACAAACCCUUGAUGGAGUAGAAACUGCUUCAGUUCUUGAUACAAGGCACAUGGUGCUUGUUUGAGGCUAUAAAUAGCUUUCUUAAGAUGACACACAUGGCUUGGAAACUAAGGAUCAACAAACCUUGGUGGUUGAGCCAUAAACACAUUUUUGGCAAAAGUCCCAUGAAGAAAAAGCAUUGUUCACAUCAAGUUGACAAAGUGACCAAUUGAAGGAAAAUGCAAGACUAAGAAUGAGUAGACCAGUAGUAGGUUUCACAACCGGGCUGAAUGUCUUAGCAUAGUCAAUACCAGGGAGUUGAUGAAAACCCUUGGCGACAAGAGGAGCCUUGUAUUGAGCAAUAGAGCCAUCAGGAUUGCGUUUGAUUCGGAAAAUCCAUUUGCAACCAACUAGAUUCUGUGACUUAGUAGAAGGAUUCAACUCCCAUGUGCCAUUAUGAAGAAGAGCAUCAAAUUCUUCAAACAUAGCUUAACACCACUCAAGAAGCUUUAAAGUUUGGGUAACAUAGGCAGGUGCAACAUCAGGAGUGGUAGAGACAAAAGCAUACUUGGUGGAUGGUUUGAAGACAUUAUUCUUGGAUCUUGUAACCAUGGGAUGGGUGUUGAGGGUAGGGGGUCGAGUGGGUGGGAUGGGGGAAGGGGUAGGAUGUGGGGUUGAAAGCAAGAUUGGGCUUGGAGGGAAACUAUGUUGGGAUUGUGUAGUCUCAGCAUUGGGGGGUAAUAUAAUUGACUGGCCAGCAAGAGUGGUAUCAUGAAUGGUCGAAUGCUUAACUGGAGUGGUACCUAAGAUUGUAUUGUCCUGUGAUGAGGGAAUUGAUACGAGAGGGAAUGGAAUAGAUGGGACUAUGGUGGGUGGAGGUUUCUCGGCAGUUGAAGAAAAGAGGACCAUUAUCUCAACAAAGGUGACAUGAUGAGAGGUGAAUAACUUGUGGGAAACUCGAUCAAGGCAAAGGUAUGCACUUUGUGUAAGAGAGUAACCUAAGAAGACACAUGGACGAGAUUUGGAUUGAAGUUUGUGGUCAUUAUAUGGGAGUAACUAAGGAUAACAAAGACAACCAAACAUUCAUAAUUUGUCAAGAAUUAGGUUUGUGAUUGAAUAAUUUCUCAUAGGAAGAGAGGAAUGAGAGGUUUGGUUUAAGCAUUCGAUUAAUAAGAUAGACUAUAGCUUAAAAGGCAAAGGGCCAAAAAGAAGUAGGAAUGGAUGCAUGAUGGAAAAGGAUGAGUCUGGUUUUGACAAUGUGUCUAUGAUGACGUUUGGAGUAACCAUUAUGCUUAGGAGUAUGAGGUGGGGUGGUGAGAUGAGUAAUGCUAGCAAGAGCAAAAUAAUCUUUUAACGCUAGAAAUUCACCACUAUUGUCAUAAUAGAUUUGAAUUAUUUUGGAACUGAAGUAGUUUUCAACUAGAGCUUUAAAUCGAACAAAAACAUCAUAGACAUUAGAUUUCUUUUGAAGUGGAUAUAACCAGACAUAUUUGGUGAAGUGAUCGACAAAGAUAACAUAGUAUUUAAAGUUAUCAUUUGAUACAAUGGGAGAACUCCAAACAUUUGAGUAAAUAGUUUGUAAAUGAGAUGAACUUGUAAUAGAUGAUGUAGAGAAAGGUAGUUUAUGACUUUUAUUGCACUUACAAGAAUUACAAGCAAAAGUAGAAAUAUCAUUAGAUGAUAAAGAAUGACUCUUAGAGGAAACUAAAUAUUGAAGAACUUUGGAAGAGGGAUGACCAAGUCGAUGAUGCCAAUUUGGAAGUGAAGUCUUAACAUUGGAAAAUACAAUCAAAGGUUUUUUCGUAGUAGGAGAAUUCAACCAUACAUAAAAACCACCACUAUAGAAUAUAGAAUAUAAUUUUAUAUUUAAUUAAUUUUGCAUUUAAAUAAUAUAUGAUAAAGAUAUUACUUUUAUAUUUAAAUAAUAUAAGAUGGUAAUGAGAUAAAAAUGAAUGUUUUUAUGGUUAUAGGAAUAAAGAAAAAUAAAAUAAAAAAGAUUUCAAUUACUUAAUUAAUAGUAAUCCUAAUUUAAUUUCAAUUAAUAUUAAUCUUAUUUAUAUCUUUCCUUUCUUGAAUAUACCAUAAAAAGAUUUAAGUAGUAAAUAAAUACAUGGGUAGAAGGAUACAUCCAGUCAUGAGGUGUACCUAUAUAUUAAUUUUAUAUUUAAAUAUUAUAGAAUAUAAUUUUAUAUUUAAUUAAUUUUGCAUUUAAAUAAUAUAUGAUAAAGAUAUUAGUUUUAUAUUUAAAUAAUAUAAGAUGGUAAUAAGAUAAAAAUGAAUGUUUUAUGGUUAUAGGAAUAAAGAAAAAUAAAAUAAAAAAGAUUUCAAUUACUAAAUCAAUAGUAAUCCUAAUUUAAUUCCAAUUAAUAUUAAUAUUAUUUAUAUCUUUCCUUUCUUGAAUAUACCAUAAAAAGAUUUAAGUAGUAAUCUGGGAUAGAUAUUAAUUUUAUAUUUAAGAAAUAUAGGAUAUAAUGUAGAGAAUAGAGAUACACAAACAUAUUUUAUAUUUAAGUAGUAAUCUUCAUGAGCUUUACACAAACAAAAAACUUAGAUGUUUACAUCAUCUAGAAGCCCCACUUCGCCUCUCUCUCAGCCCUCAGCCCUCAGGCUUAAGAAGUUGUCAUGAGAAACCUAACACAAACCUUUCUUAUAAUUAUUGUUCAUAGUCGUAGCUACCAAGAAUUCCAAGUUAGGAAGAAAAAAAGAAUCAUAAAUACAGCAAAAAUAACUUCCACUACAUGCGGCAGCAGGGGUACCAAAUUAGGGAAAUUAAGAAGUAAACCAUGCCCAAUCAAUUGCUGGGAAAUAUUAUUUGGAUAUCAAAUUAGGGAAGCUAUUAAGUGUGGUUUUUGUAGUGUUAAAUCAGAGAGAAAUUUAAUUAUAUUAUGAAUUUCAAAUUUAAUUAUUCUAAGAACAAUGAAUUACUCUAAUAGAAUUUAAUGUAUAAAAACAUUUCAAACACUCGCAACAUAUAUCAUUUUCAUUUUUUCCAAAAGCACCAAAACCCUAUAACAAUGAAAAUAAACCCAAUAACAAUGGAAAUAAACCAAAUAACAAUGGAAUCUCAAACCUAAUCACAAACAUUUCCAAAAUACCAACUAACAAAACCCAAAAAAAAAAAAAAAUUCCCAAAACUCACCAAAACCUAGAGAGAUGAUUUUCACGGGAGUUUCUUGGAGGUGGCUUCAGCUUUACCGACCAUAGCUUCCAUGGGGCUUCUUCAGCAUGGCUUCCAUAAGCUUUUUUUGACAAUAGCUUCCUCCAAGCAAUGGGGGUUGUGGGUAGGUUUUGUGGGUUUUAUGGCCGUGGGUUUUGGAGAGGAAGAGAAAAUGGGUUGGCAGGAGAGAGAAAGAAAGGCUUUAUAUUCGAUUAGGAAAGUGAUGUGGCCGUGGGGUAUACCCACAUGGUUAAAAGAAAGACAUUUUUCCAUUAGAAAAAAAUGUCUCAUGGCUUUUUUUAUUGUUAUUGUUAUACCCAAAAAAAAUAAUUUAAUUUUAUUGUUAUACCCUAAAAUUUUUUUAUUGUUAUUGUUAUUGUUCUGUGUUCAGAACUAUUAAUUUAAAAAGUUUUUCAAGUUUUAAAAUUAUCAAAUUUUUAAAAUUUACAAUUAUUUUAAAAUUUUAAAUUUACAAUUAUUUUUAAAAUUUUAAAUUUAAAUUAAUUUUGAAAGUUCAAUGUUUUACUCAAAGUGUUAUUCUAAAAUUUUUAUUAAGUUUUAUCAAGUUUUUUAAGUUUUAAAAUUAUCAAGUUUAAAAUUUAAAAAUUUUAUAUAAAUACAAAGAAUAAUUAAAAAUAAAAUAUAACAUAUAAAUGUUAUUUUUUAAAACAUAUUUAAAAACAUAAAAAAUAUAUAUUAAGAAUAUUUUAGGUUUCUAAAUCAACUUUUAUUUUAAAAUACAUCGGCAAAAAAAUUUUUAAAAAUGUUUUAAAAAACCGUUUUUUGUAUAAUUGUUUAUGAAAAUGUCAAAAUACUUCACAAAUAAACCAGUUCGAGUCCCCUCAGGGCCUCGUGGGAUUAGUCGAGAUGUGCUUAAGCUGGUCCGGACAUCCACGGUUAUAAAUAAAAAAUAAAAAUAAAAAAAUAAAAAAUACUUCACAAAUAAAACUAUAAUUUAUUGGUAUUUUUGUGGGCCUUAGGUGUUAGGAAAUGUUAUAUGUGCAUCCUACUCCUACUCUGUCUUCAUUAUUUUCAGUCCCUUUAUAUCUUAUACCAAUCUACUAUUAUUUUAUCAUAUGGUAUCAGUUUUUCAUAUUUGAUGAUAUUAAUUUCUACCUUAUCCCAUAUGCUUGUAGCUUAAUUUCAUUAUACAUUUGGACAACAGAAUUUCAGACUUCCAUUUGGUACUAAAUAUAAUAAACAUAAACAGAGAAUGAUGCAUUUAAGAAUAUUUUUCCAUGAAUUUUAACUUUAUAAAUUUGUUAAUUUUACAAAUUUAAGAAUUAUAAAAGUUUAGAACUUUUAUUUUUAAUCAUAAACAGAGGAUGUUAUUUUUGUAGUUAUAAAUUGUUUUUGUAUUGCAAAAAUCAUAAAGAUUAAAUAAUAUUUUAUGAUUGAAAAUUAAAUAAAACUAUAAACAAUUUUACUAGUAAUUGUUCAUAGUAAAAUUUAGUUAUCAUGACUAUUGAUACUUUAAAUAUAAUAAGAAUUAUUUAUCAUAUAUAAAAUCAAAAUUGUUUUUUAAUUUGCUAACUCACUUGCAUUUAAACUUUUUAUCAAAUAAUAUCAAAUUGAACCAUCAUAUUUUUAAACUAAUUUAUUAAACUUUAUUUUGCUUCUUAUUAAAACAUUAAUUAUAACAAGGAAAUUAAAUAAUUUUAACUAAAGAAAAAUAGGUAACACACUAAUUUGUUUCUUAACUUAAAAAAAAAUAGUAAUAUAACUUUAAACUUUUUAUAAUUAAUAAGAACUAUUAUUAUUACUAUUAAUGAUAAUUUCUAUUUAUGAUAUAUAUAUAUAUAUAUAUAUAAGAUUUUCUAAAAAAUUAUAAUAGGUAACCCAAAAAUUGUUUAAAAUAAAUAAUAGACUUUGGUCACGAUUGUGUGAACCCCGUGGCCAUAGGUUCAAAAUAUUUAAAAAAAACUCUAUGCAUUGGUAAUGGUCAAGCGAAAUUUGUAACUACAGGUUCUUAUACAGUCACGGUCAAUCAAUGGCGUGACUAAAAGUCACGGUCAAUCAAUCACGUCACUCAAAGUCACAAAAUAUCUAUUUAGUGACGGUUUCACAAAAACCUGUGACUAAAACAUCUUUUUCAUUACACUUUUUGUCACGGAUGAUAAAAUAACCGUGACUAAAGUUAUUGGCGCCAAAAUUUCCCUCCAUAAAUUUACAAAUAGUCACAGUUUUAAAUAAAUCCGUGACUAAAAUACCUCUUAUUAAUCCUUUUGGUGACGGUUGAUAAAAUCACCGUGACUAAACAUGUUUUUUUUUUUUUCCAAAUUUGAUUUAACACAUAUAGUCACAACCUUACCCAAUAAUAUCUUUGGUGGGCCGUGACUAAAGAUUCGUCAUUAAAAAUCUAUUUUUUUGUAGUGCUAGUUGGUCCAUGCAAAAUUCUUGCCCCCGUACAUAGACCAUUCACAUAAAAACAAGUGGGUAAGAAUUCAAUGAAAACAUUAUUUGUUAAGCAAAAUUGGGAAAUUGAAAUCAAGUUCUUUUUCAUGGUGAGAACACAAGGGAUAUUAUUAAGUUGAAGUAGCUUUAAUGCAGUUGGGAGGGUGGUGGAUCCUGUGUGUGUGAUUUCUAGACCUUUACCAUCACCAAUAAUUAUGUCGUCUGGGCCAGCAUAGUCGGAAUGCAAAGAUAGAUUCUGAAGAUCAUUAGAUAUGUGGUGUGAGGCACCAAAAUCCAAGACCCAAUUUGGAGAGACAACAGUUGGUUGAGUUGUCGCAUGUGUUUGUGCAGAAGAGGGGCGGUAACUGUAAUUGGGUGGAACACCAUGAUGUUGACUGGCAAUAUAUCGAAAUGAUGGACAUCUUUUCGCUGAGUGUCCUUGAACACCACACAAUUGACAAGUCCCCUUAUAUGGAUGAGGGGUGUGAUUCGAAGUAUUCGAGGUAGUCAUUGGUUGAGGUUGUUUGGAUGUACGGUAUUGAGACGAAGAGUAAGGCUGUUGAUUGAAGAAUCGAUGCGAUUGUGGUUGUUUGGUAGCAGCAUUGGUGGAAGCAGGCAAUGAGACAUUCCAAGAAGAAUACUUGGCAGAUUCUCAUAAAGUUUGAGCCUCAAGAGGAAGCAAUUUCUCAUAAAGUUCCUCAAAGGAAAAACAGUUUCAUGGGCAUGGAUGGUUGAGUGUAAAUCUUUGUACAUCUCAGGCAAACCAUGAAAUAUUUGAAUAAUGAAGUCCUCAGGGUCUAUGGUGACGUUCAUGAGAUAGAGAACAUCAACGCAAAUUUUAACAAAUUGCAUAUACUGUGUUAUGGACUGAGUGCCUUUGGACAAGUUGUCGAGUUGAGUCCGAUAAUGAAUUAUUCGGCUUCGAGAUGCUUUAGCAUAGGUGUUGUGAAGUGUAGACCAAGCCUCAAGGGAGGUUGUGGCUGAUGCAAUGAAUGAGAAAAUUGUUGGACUAAGUGAUGAAACAAUAGCAUUAAGAAGAUGGUCUUGACGAAUCCAAUGGGUGUAAGCUGGGUUUGGGGUUGUAGUACCCUUUUCAGAAGUAAGAGUGCUAGAAGGACAUGGUAAAGUGCCAUUGACAUAUCCCAGUAAAUCAUAACCGACUAGGAGAGUGUAAAAUUGGAGUCUCCAUGCAGAAAAAUUGUGUUGAGUGAGUUUGAUGGGGGUUUGGGAAGAGGCGUUUAUGGCUAUGAGGUUUUGAGUAGUGUAUAUAGAGAUGUUGGCAGCAGUGUCGAUGGAGGAAACAAUUGAGGGGGAAGGGCUAGAGCCUUCGUUGGUUUAUGGGUUUGGUGAGGCAUGAGAAUCAACUAUGUGAGCUAUGGUUGCUCUGAUACCAUAAAGACGAUACAGGCUUUGAGAGUUAAAGAUUGUUCUUUCUAUAGAUCAAGGCAAGAAGUAUAUAUAUAGUAUACAACCUAGCGUUACAGACUUACCAAAUUAACUCCACAAUAAAGGGAACUAUACAUGGUUGGUUACCAAAACAAAUAUAGGAGAUUAGCUGUACAUAUUACUGAAAUAUAGAGACGAUCACGGAGGAUUUGAUAGAGAUUGAAGUUGACUUUCAAACGAACCAUUUUCCUUAUCAGGUACUAAUUCAAAGUUCUUGGGUGGUACUUGAAUUAUAUCCCCAACAUUGAUGAUAUAUGCAUCUAGGGUGGGCUUAACUCGAAUCCAUUCUCCAUCAGUUUUUUGCUUUACUUCCAACCCUCUGACAUCAUCCUGGGCAAGGAUGGUUAAGGCUUCGGCAUCCUUUUGGCAACGAACACCCAGAGCUAGGUGAGGGAUGGGGCAUGGUGGGUAGUGAUUGAGGCGGAUGAAGGUAGUUGAUUCUUCAAAGAAAAGAUUGAAUCUGUUUUCCGGCAAACCUAAGCUCAGAGAGAUGAGUCCCAACAUCUUGAAAGCUAGUUUUUCCAUUUCUCUAGCAUAUUCUUCACAUACCUCCCUGUAUAAAUUGGUUCAAUUAGAACCAAAAAACCAAGUAAAUCAUUGAAGUGACUCUGCCUUAGCUGGUGGAAUUUGUACCUUAAUUCAGGAGAGUACUGAGGCCACUGAUUGAUCAACUCUUUGAGCUCCUUGUCGUCAGGAUCAGGCGAAGCAGGGAUGAAGGCGGGGGAUGACACCACGAAAUCAAAGACUUCCUUCCAGUCCCUAACGUUCUUGGUAUGCUCAGUAUCAAAAUACCACAAAGGAUUCACCCCAUCUCUACUCACCUUCCUCUUCUCCUACAAUGGCAGAGCGAAGAACUUCCUCGCCGCAUCCUCAAUUUUCCGGCGAGACUCCGAGGGCAUCCCAUGGUUGAUGACUUGAAAGAAGCCUCGAUUCUUGGAUGCAUCAGCUAUUUGAGAAACAUGGUUAGAGGCAUUGGCGGAAGAGAGAUCAAUGAGUGGGAUGCCUUCAGCUUCGAUAACAACGAGCUUAGGCCCAUGUUGGGUGUCUUGGAUGAAGGCUGGAUCGACCUCUCCCAUGGCUGUGGUAGUGAUUAGAACCUAGAAAUGGUGGUUAUGCACUGGUAGCUGCAGGUUGAGAUUGUGAAGGGGACUUGGGCCACUUGGCAGGUGAUUUUUGUAGUGUAGUGGGGUUGGUUUGGUUCAUUGAACCUUGACAUAAUGACAUAAAUGGGAUACGUUUUAUAAGUUCAAGGAAUCAUGGUAUUUGGAAAAUAUGAAUGAGUUGAAAAUUUUAAAAAAUAGGUUUAUAGGAGUAUAUUUUAAGGAAAAUAAUUUUCAAAUCAUAUCAUGUAUAGGAUAGUGACUUUGUACAUGUUUGAGGGGAAUCAUGUCAAAGUGCACUAUUUGAAAAACAUGGCUAAAUUGUAAACUUAAAAAAGUGGUUUCAUGGAGAGUACAUUAUGAGAAAAAUAAUUUCCAAAUCAUGUACUAAAAUAAUAACUGUAUCCAUGCUUCCAAAACUACUAUUCAACAUAUUUUCAUCAUGUCACAUUUUCCUAUGACGUCAUUGCCCUCAUUUCUUAGAAGAAAAACCCUUUCUGUUCUACUUUACUUUACACUGUUUGUUCCUAUAACCCUUUCCUUUUUUUAAUUUUAAUUUUUUUAAAAAAAUAUUUCUCAUCUAUUUUCUCGAUUUUUAAAAUUCUAUUUAAUUAAAAAAAUUAGAAUUUUUUUUAAAGUACAAUUCAUUUAUUUAUUUUUUCAUUUUAUUUAAAUGUGAUGUAUAAUUAAUACAUUAACAUAAAUUAGUUUUUAAUAUAAAAAUAUAUUCAUCUAUAAUAAUUAAAAAUCUAAUAAAUAAAUAAAUAAAUAAAUAUUAGUAUUUUAAAUAAUAUUGAUUUCGUAUAUACAAUAUUUUAUUUUGUUUCAUUAUUAUAGAUCUCAUUUUCUAUAUUUUUUAUUUCUAAUUUUUCUUAUAGAAUUUUAAACCUAGAUUUUUUAAAAAUGAAAUUUAAAAAAACACUAGAAAUUAAAGUUUUUGUUUUCUUCAAAAUAAAAACAAAAAAAAAAUAAUAUACAAAAAAAAAAUAUUAGUUUACCUUUAAUUUCAUUCAACAAAAAAUUAGUAAUGAUAAUUUUUUAAGAGUAUUUAAUUUUAAAAGUAAUAUUUGAAGAUAGGUAAAAUAAAAAUUUUAAAAGUGUUUGUAUUAAAAUUUUGAAUAUAAAUUCACAACUCCCAUCAUAAUACAUUGAUAUUUAAAAUAAAAAAAACCCCUAAUGAUUUUUUUUUAUUAUAUUAAACAUGUAAAAAAAGUACAUUUUUGUUUAAUUAAAAAUUUAAACCAUUAAAAUUGUUUUUUUCUUUAAUAAAUAAUGUUUUUAAAGAGUACAUUAUACCUAUUUUUUUGGGCAUGUUAUUUAAUAAUUGCUACCAAAGUCAUAACAAUGACAAUAAAAAACUAAAUAUAAUAGUGCAUAUUUGCUAUCUAUAGUGGUACUUUUAGUUACUAACAUUAUUAUUUUUAAGUAAAAAUAAUGUUAUUAUUUCCUGACAUAUUUGAUGUAGAGGUUGAAGUGAUGACAGUGCUAAAUAAGUUAGUACAUCCUAUUAUCUACAGUGAUAUUUUUAGUUACUAUUAUUAUUAUUUUUAGGUAAAGACAAUGUUACUAUCUCUAGUGAUACAUUUGAUGUAUGGAUUGGAGUGGUGAUAGAUGAUGUAACAACUGUGUAUAUGGGGUCAAUCAAGUGUAAUUGUCCUCUUAUUUGUAUAGAUCGCAACCCACCUCCGACAGUGGUUGAAAAGUAGUCUUGGAAGCAUAUCACCAAAGGGACAUUUUGAAUAAUAAUUUGGGAAAAAGCGUUCAUCAGACAUAGCCUAAAAAGUAUAUCCCAACAUUGCUGUUUAUUUAUCAAGCAAAUUACAUUAUUAUUGUCACACCAAACCUCCAAAUUCAACAUGUACUUAGCCUAUAUACUGGAUGGUGAACGGGCUAAAACAAGCUCUUACUGAUUACAGAUAGAUACUGUCCUACUGACACUUUUACUCUGAUACCUUGAAAUGAGAAAUUUGGAGGUUUUCCACAUCAAGCUUCUUGAAAUUGCUGCGCCUUCUCGCAGAAAAGAACUUUCCCCAGUUGUAUGCUCUGUAAUUUUGCUUUUCCCCCUUCGUCAGCUCCUCCAAGGGCUUCACCCAAACAUGCUGCCCGGGAUUGAAAGAGAACGGAAUCGAAAACCUUUCCCUCUCUGAAUUCACAGUCACCCUGUGCUCCACACUUUCAUAAGUAUCAUUGCUCCAGGCCUGGUUUAAUAUCAGUAUAAUUAGCCAAAUGGGUGUAACUGAGCCAAACAGUACUGAUAAGCAUGUACUUAUAAUUCGAAGUUCUUGGGUGGUACCUGAAUUAUAUCCCCAACAUUGAUGAUAUAAGCAUCUGGGGUGGGCUUAACUCGAAUCCAUUCUCCAUCGGUUUUUCGCUUUACUUCCAACCCUCCGACAUCAUCCUGAGCAAGGAUGGUUAAGGCUCCGCCAUCCUUGUGGCGACCAACGCCCAGAGCUAGGUGAGGGAUGGGGCAAGGUGGGUAGUGUUUGAGGCGGAUGAAGUUCGUUGAUUCUUCAAAGAAAAGAUUGAAUCUGUUUUCCGGCAAACCUAAACUCAACGAGAUGAGUCCCAAUAGCUUGAAAGCUAAUUUUUCCAUUUCUCUAGCAUACUCUUCACAUACCUCCCUAUAUAAAUCAGUUCAAUUAGAACAAAAAAGAUAAGUAAUUCACUGUAGUUAUUGUGCCUUAGCUGGUGAAAUUUGUACCUUAAUUCAGGAGGGUACUGAGGCCACUGAUUGGUCAGCUCUUUGAGCUCCUUGUCGUCAGGAUCAGGCGAAACAGGGAUCACGGUGGGGGUUGACACCACGAAAUCAAAGACUUCCUUCCAGUCCCUAACGUUCUUGGUAAGCUCCGAAUCAAAAUACCCCAAAGGAUUCACCUCAUCUCUACUCACCUUCCUCUUCUCCUCCAAUGGCAGAGCGAAGAAUUUCCUCGCCGCACCCUCAAUUUUCCGGCGAGACUCCGAGGGCACCCCAUGGUUGAUGACUUGAAAGAAGCCCCAAUUCUUGGAUGCGUCAGCUAUUUGAGAAACAUGGUUGGAAGCAUUGGCGGAAGAGAGAUCAAUGAGGGGGAUGCCUUCAGCUUCGAUAACAGCGAGCUUAGGCCUAUGUUGGGUGUCUUGGAUGAAGGCUGGAUCGACCUCUCCCAUGGCUGUGGUAGUGGUUGGAAGUUAGAAAUGGGGGUUAAGCACUGGUGGCAGCAGGUGUAGAUGGUGACGGGAAAUUGGGCCACACGGCAGGUGGUUUUUGUAGUGUGGUGGGGUUGGUUUAGUACAUUGAACCUGGGCAUAAUUUGGGUUACUUUUUAAGGUUUGGUUGAGGGUGUGACCUCAUGGAUUGCGCAUAUAUUAAUGAUAAUUGGUCAAGUGAUACUGCAGUCCCAAAGGGAAUCUCUCUCAAUGAUUUUGCCGACAGCUCCCUCCACAUUAAAAUGUUUCAUCCGUAUUUGAAUUGGAGUCUAAUGCUCUGAUCAAAGAUACCUUUCGCUUAGUCGAUCAGUGUUUGAUUACUAAAUAAGAUGGUGUCACAAAUAUUUUUGAAUUCUAGGUCAAAGUUAACGAGUGCAAAGGUUAUCAAUUUGAUAAGAUAAAUUGUUUAGAAACACUUUUAAAAAUGAUUCUUGAAAAAAUAUUUUUUUAAGUUUAAAAACCAUUUUUAAAUUUAGAAUAAAGGUUUAUUUAAAAACUUAUAUUAUUAUAAACUUAUUUUUUAUAUUUUUAAAAAAUAAUUUUUAUAUAUAAUAUUUUAUUUUCAAUCAUUUUUUACAUUUUUUUUAAAAAGGUAAAACUACUAAAAAAAAUACUUAAAAUAAGUUAUCAACAAAUGUCUUAUUGUCAUGACAAUUUUCAAAAACAUGUUUUAGAAACAAUUGAAAAUCAAAGUAUUUUCAUAUUCCUUUAUUCCCAAAAACAAAAAAUUAUUCUUGGUAACGGUUCCAAAUGUAUCCUUCAUUUGUUUAUCUUAUUAUAUAAGUUUUAAAAUAAAAUACAAAAAAUAAUUUUCAAUGAUAAUUUGUUACGGUUUUAUCCAAAAUUUUUAUAUUUUUAAUCAAUUAAUUUAUUGAUACGUAUAUUUCUCAUGAGACCUUUUUCUCACUAAAAACAUUACUUUUUUAUAAGACAUUUUUAAUAAAUUAAUUUUGAUACGUAGAUUAAAAAUGUCUUAUAACAAUAUAAAUUAAUUAAAUCAUUAGUUGGCCAUUUGGUCUCAUGCUUACACAACGACUUCUCUCAUGGCUGCCUAACAUGAAUGAACAACUCUCUACAACAAGUAAGGUACACUUAAUUAAAAAAUUAUUUAAUUUAAAGAUGUUCGAGAAUGAGAAUUUCAAGUAGCACUUGAAUGAAUUUAAUGAGACCACAAAUUAAUUAAAUUCGAUGGUUAUUAAAUUUGAUGAUAAGAUUCAAGCCUUAUUAAUCCUCGGUUAAUUGCUUGAGAGUUGGAAAGACACAAUCACCUCAAUCAAUAGUUCAUCCAAAAAAUCAAAAUUGGUGUUUUCGAAUGUAGUAGACAUGAUUAUAACCGAGGAGAUCAAGAAGCAUGAAGAAGGUUUUUCAAAUUCAUGAUCAACAUUAAAUAUGGAGAGCAAAGCUAGAAAUCAUAAUAAAGGUAAUAGGCGUGAUAAAUCCAAAUCGAGGAAUGAUAGGUUGAAAUACAAAAAUUCCAUAAAUUCCUAACAUCAGACGAGUAAGAACAAUAUCAAAUGUUGGAAUUGUGAUUGGAGCUAAAAUAUGUGCUCAAAUGACAUAUAUUUGAUAUGAUUUAUAUAUCAUAAGACACUCAAAUCAUCUGACUCUACCCAAAUUGAUACUAAGGUCCUAGCCAUGAGUUUAACUUGUAUUUUGGAGAUUUAUCUCAGGUUUAAGAAAAGAAAAUGGUGUAAGGUGAAUCAAUUUAGAUUUUGAAAGAAUAAGAAGGGGUUAAAUGAGAAAAUGAACAAGUCAAGACUCAUGAAAUAUGAAGAAAGGAAAGACGAGGAUAUCGUGAGUUUGGGAGAUGAGGAAUGACCAUUAUCAUGAAGUAAGAAAUAAGGCAUACAAACAUAGAAAAUGAGGCAUGAAACAAAAUUCAUCAAGUUUGCAUGGAAAUUUGGGACUCAAAAUCUGGUAAUAACAUAUACUCUGACUUUAAAAUGAAAUUUGGAGCAUUUCCCAAAGUCCAUUUUAGGCAAGCUAUAUAUUGUUUUGAAGCAUGGGAAGUUAGGAAUUCAAAGCUUCAAACAAUGUCCAAAUUAGAGCUAAAUAAGGAAGUUAUGCACAUUUAAAGCAAACUAGUUAGAGAGAAAAACUGAGUUCGAAAUUGGUCACUUGGAUUUGAAAUGGUUUUUGUCCAUUUAAAACUCAAAGAAAUGAAAGAAAACUUUUGGCAUUGGCUAAGUUUGAAUCUCUUUACCUAUUUCAAACAAGAGGCAUACAUUUCAAAGUCAAAUGAACAUACAUGGGCAGUGAGUGAGUUCAAAAUUCACUAUGAAUUUUGAACUCACCUUGUUGAUUUCAAAUUGGACCAUUUAUUUCCCACUUAUGAGUUCAAAAUUGAUUUGAACUCACCCAAAUUUCGAACUCAACCAUUAGUGACCGAUUUUAGGCUCUGAGACAUGUCAAAACGAGUUUCAAAUGCCUUUAUCCAAUUCAAAACGCAUCAUACUCAUUUAGAACUCGUAAUUUUUGGGGUUUUUUUUAAAGGUUAUUUAUGACUUUUCGUUACAAUAAGUGGCCAAUGAGAGUGUACCACAUGUUAGGUCAUUGAAGUUACUAUAAAAACUCUUUUAGUUAUAGUGUUUAGGUGAUCUUCCAAGAGUUAGACAUUUCGUGGGGAAGAAUACGAGAACUUUUGGUUUAUUUAUUUUCUUCUUUAUUGAAUGUAUUGUUUUUAGUUUCCUUUAUUUCAAAUUAUGAAUUUUUACUUUAUUAUGGAUUGUGAAUGUGACAUUACCCCCAUGAGAGGAUAAAAAGCUAACUUGGGGCUUAAACAUAAAAACUAACGGUUAGAAAACUUAUAGGGACAUUAGGUAAAUUAUUAUAACAAUAAGAUUAAUUAAUGGUUGAGUUACAAUUUAUUAAUUUUUUAUCCUAUCAUUGUGAGUUAGUUUAGAGAAUAAUAUAGUAGGUGAUUAUUCGAUACUAGUGAUUCUUGGUAACUCUUGAUCAUUAGUAAUCCUGAUUUUUCUUAUAGUUAUCUGCCCCAAAACGAAGUUAGAAGGAGUAGGAAAUGUUAAAAAGCCAAACCUUAAAUUGAUAAUAAUUUCAUUCAUUUGAUGUGUUGACAAAUCAGAGGGUUGGCUGCAUCCAUCAACUCUCUUUGUGUUCGCCGUGAGCACUUGGGUGAAUGCACUAUAAGGUUAGAGUAUGCACAUUUCUUAACAGCAAUUGCUUUUAGGAGAAUUGGUAGUGCCUGAGGUCCUACAUGAUAGUUUUAAGAACUUGUUUUAAAAAGAAAAAUUAAGUUUUAGAUGUACUUUUGAGUUAUAGGGCUCAAGUUGAUUGCAAGCGGCCAAGAAUCCCAAAACCCUAAGAUCACUCUAGUUAAGAAACCUUUGUUAUCUCUAUUUCUAUACCUUAAGUUAUAUUGUGGAAAACCUCAAACUUAAAUCAAUUAAAUUAAAAAUCAAUAUUCGUUUUGUUAUUAAUUUAGUUUUUUUUUUUUUUUACUUAGUUUCACUUCAUAAAAGUUAAUUCACAUAUUGUUUUUCGCUUUAGGAUUUAAAUAAAAACAAUUCAUUUAUCCUAGUAUUGAAAAAUUCCAUAUGUUAGUCCCUAAGGAUGAUACCCAAAGAAUUACAAAAACCAUAGUGACUAUUUCUCUAGUUUUUUCUUAACCAAAGUUACUAUGUAAAAAGGCUUAGUAUUUUACAUAAGAGAGAAGAUUGAUCAAAUUGUGGAAAGAAGAGACAUUAUAAAAAUGAGUGUAAGGCUGCCAAGAAGGAUAAGGAUGGUGACAACAAGACCAAUGCAAAUGUUGUGUCAAAAGAAUUAGAUGAUGCUCUUAUCUGCUAUUUAGAGAGAACAACAUAAUCGUGGGUAUUAGAUUCAGGGGCAUCGUUCCAUGCUACCUCAAGUGGAGAAUUAUUUGAGAAUUAUGUCUCAGGUAAUCUAGGGAAGAAGUAUCUAGGUGAUGACCAAGCAUGUGUUGUUAUUGGCAUAAGUGAAGUGCAUAUCAAAUAUUUGAAUGGAUUUGUAUGGAAUUUGGACAAUGUGAGGCACAUUUCAAACCUGAGAGAUAAUUUUAUUUCCAUUGGGUAGUUAACAAAAGAUAGUUAUGUGACAACUUUUUUAGGUGACACAUGGAAUAUCUCAAAGGGAGCUAUUUGCCAUGGCAAGAAGAAUGAUACUCUUUACAUGACAAUGAAUGGUUGUGGGUUUAUUACAAUUGUUGAGAGCAAAGAAGAUUCGAAUUUAUGGCAUUAAAGGCUUGGUCACAUGAGCAAUGAGGGGUUGGAAAUUAUACACUCAAAUGGGAAGUUGUCAAGUUUGAAAUAAGUUGACAUUGACAUGUGUGAAAAUUGCAUACUUGGGAAACAAAGAAGGGUUAGCUUUAAGAAAGUUGGAAAAACUCCAAAAGAAGUAAAACUGAAGUUAGUUUAUACAAAUGUUUGGGGACUUGCUUCAAUUUCAUCUAUCGGUAGAAGAUUUUUUUUUGUGACCUUCAUUGAUGAUCAUUUGAGGAAAGUGUGGGUAUACUUUAUGAUACACAAAUGAGAAGUGUUUGAUGUAUUCAAGAGACGGAAAACAAUGGUGGAGAAUAAGACAUGUAUGAGAGUCAAGAAGUUACGGUUUGAUAAUGGUAGGGAGGAUGAAGAAUUUGAGUUCAAGAAGAUCUAUUAUGAAAAUGGAAUUAAAUUAGAGAAGACCGUGCCAAGGACACCUUACCAGAAUGGUAUAGCAUAAUGAAUGAACAAGACAUUGACUGAAAGAGAAAAAAAACGUGUAUACAAGCAAGGUUGUCAAAGGAGUUCUUGGCAAAAGCAAUCAACAAAACAACUUACUUGAUCACAAAAUACUGGAAAAAGUGUGAACUAAAAAAAAGGUAAAGUUUUCUCAUUUGAGGGUAUUUGGUUGUGUAUCAUAUAUAUAUAUAUAUAUGUGUGUGUGUGUGUGUGUGUGUGUGUGUGUGUGUGUGUGUGUGUGUGUAUACAUAUUAGUGAUCAUGACAUAAACAUACUUGAUGCUAAAUCACUAAAAUGUACUUUCUUAGCUAUGGUGUUGAUAAUUUUGGUUAUUAGUUUUGGGAUGACCAGAGUAAGAAAGUGAUUAGAAGUAAGGAUGUCGAUUAGAAGUAAGGAUGUCAUAUUUAAUGAGAAAGUUUUGUAUAUGUAGAGAGAUGCAACACAUUCCAAUAGUCUGGUACAACUUGAACCUAUUUACUUUGAGCCAAAUGAUGUCCCAUUGAAUAACAUGACAAAUAAGACAGGUCAUAAUCAUUAGAUUGAGGAAAAUACUGCAUAAGAUGUUAAUAUAUCACAAGAUCUAGUUUCAAUUCCUACUUUGAGGAGAUCUAACAAGCCACAUGUACCAAAUAGGAAGUAUUUAAAUUAUUUGCUACUAAUAGAUGGAGGUGAACCUAAAUGUUAUGAUGAGGCAUGUCAGAUGGAAGAUAAUAGAAAGUGGGAGCUUACGAUGAAAAAUGAAAUGAAGUCCCUUAUUCUUAACCAGACUUGGAAGCUAGUCGAGUUACCAAUGGGUAAGAAAGUUUUUCAUAAUAAGUGGGUGUAUUAAAUUAAGUAGGAGCAUGGUGGUUCUAAGAGAUAUAAGGCUAGAUUGGUGGUCAAAGGGUUUCAAUAGAAGAAAAAUGAUUGACUAUACAUACAUUUUCUCUCUAGUUGUGAAACUAACUAUUAUUCAAUAUGUUUUGAGUAUUGUAGCAAUAAAGAGUUUACAUAUAGAACGGUUAGAUGUGAAGAUAGCUUUCCUCUAUGGUGAUUUUGAUGGGGAAAUUAGUAUAUAUGCAACAACUAGAGGGUUUUGUAGUGAAGGGUAAAGAGAAUCUGGUGUGCAAAUUAACUAACAGUCUGUAUGAUUUAAAACAAGCCCCAAGACAAUGGUAUAGAAUAUUUGGUAGUUUCAUGCAAAAGAAUAGGCAUCUCAAGUGCAAUGCAGACCAUUGUUGUUACUUUAAGAGAGUUGGUUCUAUCUAUAUUAUUUUGUUACUUUAUGUUGAUGGCAUGUUAGUAGUUGACGCAAAUCUAGAUGAAAUUAACAAGUUGAAGAAAUAGUUGUCUAGUGAAUUUGAAAUGAAGGACUUGGGAGCAACAAAGUAGGUACUUGGGAUGAAGAUUAGCAAAGACAAAUAAACGAGCAUCUUAUGGUUAUCUUAGGCUAAGUAUAUAUACUCAUAAAGUAUUGCAAAUAUUCGACAUGAGUAAUGUAAGGCAAUUAGAACAUCAUUAGCAAAUCAUUUCAGGUUGUCUAAUUAAGCAUUGCCCAUGGGCAGAUGAGGAAAAAGACUUCAUGGCUAAGGUUUCAUAUGCCUUAGCCAUUGGAAGUUUGAUGUAUGUUAUGAUAUGCACGACACUAGACAUUGCCUAUGCAGUGGAAGUUGUGAGCAAAUUUAUGUCAAAUCUAAGUAAGUAGCAUUAUGAAGUAGUGAAAUGGAUGCUUAGGUACUUACAGGGUACUACAAAAAAAUGUCUAUGUUUCGAAAGGGGUGAGUUAAAAUUGCAAGGAUAUGUGGAUGUUGAUUUUGCCAAUGAGAUAGAUAAUUGGAAAAGUACUACAUGGUAUGUGCUCACUUUGGGUACUAUUGCUAUUAGUUUGAUUUCUCAAUUGUAGAAGAUUGUUAUUUUAUCUACAAUUGAAGUAAAAUAUGUGGCUAUCACAGAAGCUAGAAAAGAAAUGAUUUGGCUAUAGAGUUUGUUAGCAAAGUUAGGAUUCAAAUAAGAUAUGAAUGUUUUGCAUAGUAAUGGCCAAAGUGCAAUACAUUUGGCUAAGUAUUCAACAUUUCAUUCAAGAACUAAUUAUAUUACACUUCAUUAUCACUCCAUCAGGUUUUUGCUUGAAGAUAGGGUGUUAACAUUUGUGAAGAUACAAGGUAGCAAGAAUCCGGUUAACAUGUUAACUAAAAUAGUGAUAAUAGAAAAAUUGGAGUUGUGUGCAACUUCAAUUGGUCAAUAAUGAGAAUAGGUUGUUUGAGUGCACCCUCAUACCCAUUAAUCAUUGAAAGAGAAUGUUUACUUGUGUUUUAGUCUUCAAGUGGAAGAUUGUUGGAUUGUGAAGCUUGAAUCAGUUUUAUUAUGCCCCGAUCAACUUGUAGGGAUUGAAGGGCGCAAUGCUCUAUGGAGAAUUUAUUUAUUUAUUUUUAUGUAAUGAUUGACAGGUUUAAUCUUAUUAUAUAUUUUAACCCUUUUAUGUUUUAAGGUUUUGUUUUUUAAUGUGUAGUUGCAAUUGAGAGGUUUUUUGAGAGCUUUGCUAUUCCACUCCUUCUCAUCCCUUUUAUAGUGAAUUGUUGUAUGUUGGUGUACUCCAUUGAUGUAGGGAUCAAAUUGAUCGUAAAACCAUUUUUUUUUUUUUUUUGUUUCUAUUUAUACAUGAGUGUGUGCGUGAUUUGGUUAACAUCAGUUAUCUUAAUAAUUCUAUUCCUGGAAUAGGAAGAAAAUGAUGAUUCCAUUAAUGUAGCAUGCAUUGCUGCUUAUUUAUCAAGCAAAUUACAUUAUUAUUACACCAAACCUCCAAAUUCACCACGUACGUAUCGUAUAUACCGCAUGAUAAGAUUUAGAGAGGUAAAACAAGCGCUUAUUGUUUACGGAUAGAUAAUGUCCCACCGACCUUUUACUCUGAUACCUUGAAAUGAGAAAUUUGGAGGUUUUCCACACCAAGCUUCUUGAGAUUACCGCGCUUUCUCGUAGCGAAGAACUUUCCCCAGUUGUAUGCUCUAUACUUUGGUUUUUCCCCCUUCGUCAGCUCCUCCAAGGGCUGCACCCAAAGAUGGUGCGCGGGAUUGAAAAAGAACGGAAUCGAGAACCUUUCCCUCUCUGAAUUCAGUAUCACUCUGUGCUCCACACUCUCAUAAGUUUCGUUGCUCCAAACCUGGUUUAAUAUCAGUAUAAUUAGCCAAAUAGGUGCAAAAUUCGGUGAGCGAAAUAACUGAUAAGCAGGUGCUUAUAAUUCAAAGUUCUUGGGUGGUACCUGAAUUAUAUCCCCAACAUUGAUGAUUUAAGCAUCUGGGGUGGGCUUCACUCGAACCCAUUCUCCGUCGGUUUUUCGCUUUACUUCCAACCCUCCGACAUCAUCCUGGGCAAGGAUGGUUAAGGCUCCGGCAUCCUUGUGGUGACCAACGCCCAGAGCUAGGUGAGGGACAGGGCAAGGUGGGUAGUGAUUGAAGCGGACGAAGCUCGUUGAUUCUUCAAAGAAAAGAUUGAAUCUGUUUUCUGGCAAACCUAAGCUCAGAGAGAUGAGUCCCAUCAGCUUGAAAGCUAGUUUUUCCGUUUCUCUCGCAUAUUCUUCACAGACCUCCCUGUAUAAAUCAGUUCAAUUAGAACAAAACAAACUAAGUAAUUUACUGUAGUGACUGUGCCUUAGCUGGUGAAAUUUGUACCUUAAUUCAGGAGGGUACUGAGGCCACCGAUUGGUCAGCUCUAUGAGCUCCUUGUCCUCAGGAUCAUCCGAAGCAGGGCCGAAGGCGGGGGUUCUCACCACGAAAUCAAAGACUUCUUUCCAGUCCCUAACGUUCUUGGUAUGCUCAGUAUCAAAGUACCCAAAAGGAUUCACCUCAUCUCUACUCACCUUCCUCUUCUCCUCCACUGGCAGAGCGAAGAACGUCCUCGCGGCAUCCCAAAUUUUCCGGCGAGACUCCAAGGGCACCCCAUGGUUGAUGACUUGAAAAAAGCCCCAGUUCUUGCAUGCAUCAGCUAUUUGAGAAACAUGAUUGGAAGCAUUGGCGGAAGAGAGAUCAAUGAGGGGGAUGCCUUCAGCUUCGAUAACAGCGAGCUUAGGCCUAUGUUGGGCGUCUUGGAUGAAGGCUGGAUUGACCUCUCCCAUGGCUGUGGUAGUGAUUAGAACUUAGAAAUGGCAAUUAUGCUCUGGUAGCUGCAGGUGAAGAUGGUUACAGGACUUGGGCAACUCGGCAGGUGGUUUUUAUAGCAUAAUAGGGGUGUUGGUUUAAUACCUUGAACCUGGACAUAAUAUGGGUUACGUGUUAAGUUUUAGUUCGGGGUGUGAGCUCAUGGGUUGCGCAUAUGUUAAUGAGAUUUGGUCAAGUGAUACCUAGCUAUUUCCACGGCACCCUCAAUAUUCAAAUAUUUCAUCCGUACUCGAUUUGGAAGGUUGAUUAGUAAAUCUGAUGGUGUAAUGUCUAUUUUUGAAUUCAAUGCUAUAUAUUUAACGGUGAAGAUAAGAAAAAUAGAAGAGUUGAUAACGUUGAAGAAAAAAUGCCAAAGUUUUAAGAAGGUAGAGUUUUGAUGAGAAAUAGGUAAAAUUAAAAUUGCAUUAUAAUAAUAUAAAUUAAUUAAAUCGGUAAUCACCCAUUUAAUCUCAUUCUUAUCCACAAUUGUUGAUAGUUGAUCCUACAAAAUUCUAAAAAAAUCUUCCACAAAGACAAAUCACAAGAUGUUCAAUAACAUAUAUGCUUUUGCACCAAAAAUUGUAUAAGGGAAAAAAAAAUGAUGCACAAAAAAAAAAAAAAAAAAAUUCUAUAUCUAAUAUUAUUUCAUAGGAAAACUAACUAUAAUAAAUUUUAAAAGCAAAGAGCGUUUUACCAUAUCUAAAUAAUAGAUUAUUAAAUUCUUUAUUUUUCAAUUGGAUAUUUUUUUUUAAAUUAGAAACAUCUAUAUAAAAAUAAAAAUCACUUUAAAAAAAUUUUAAAUUUAAGAUAAUAAAUUUUUUAUAAUAUUUUAAUUCUUUUAAAUAAUUUUUAAAAUUAUUAUUUUUUCAAUAUAAAAUUUUAAGAGUUUUUGUAUUUUAUAUAUAAGUUACUAAUAUUCUCUUAUUUUAAACAUAGAAAAUAAAAAAUGUAACCAAAUGAAUUAGAAAAUAAAAAAGUUGAAUAAAAAUAGUCUAACCAUCUUAAACCUAAUAAUGUUUGACAGAAAACACUUAAAUAUACCUUGUAAUUUUCCUCACUGGUCAGCUCCUCCGAAGGCUUCACAUUCACAUGGUGCGCCAGUAAGAAGAAGAAUGGAAUCGAAACCCUUUCCUUCUUGUGUCGACCCACACUGAGAGCGAGCUCCAGCCACGAGCACGAUGGAUGGUGAUUGAGUCGGAUGAAGCAUUAGCCUUCAAAGAAUUCAUUCAACCGAUCCCCCACCAAGCCUAAGCUUAAGGAGAUGAGUUCCAAGAACUUGUAAGCUAAUUUUUCUAUUUCUCUAAUAUAGUUUUUCCAAAUUUUCCUGAAAAUAAAUCAUUAUAUAAAAUAUAUCAAUACUCAAAAUAAAUUUAAUAAAAUCUUGUCUUGCCUUUAUGUCUCUAGUUGAGUCUGUUUGGCUUCAAGCUGUGCAUUUAUGUCUCCGGUUGAGUUUGUUAGGCUUUGAGUCGCACCUUUACACCUCUAGUUGAAUAUGUUCGACUUUGAGCCAUGCCUUUACGUUUUGAGUUGAGUCUAUUCGGCUUUGAGCCACGCCUUUACAUUUUAGUUGAAUCUGUUCGAUUUCAAGCCGUGCAUUUACAUCUAUAAUUGAGUCUAUUCAGCUUCAAAUUGCAUCUUCACAUUUUUUGUUGAAUCUGUUCAGCUUCAAGCCACUCCUUUAUGUCUCUAAUUAAAUUUGUUUGGCUUUAAGUUUCACCUUUAUGCCUUUAAUUGAGUUUGUUCGGCUUUUAGUUGCGCUUUUACGUUUUGAGUUGAGACUAUUUGGCAUCGAGUUGCAACUUUAUGUUUCAAGUUGAAUUUGUUUAGCUUCAAAUCGUGCCUUUACAUCUCUAGUUGAGUUUGUUCGACUUCAAGUCAUGCCUUUAAGUCUCUAGUUGAGUUUUUUUAGCUUUGAGCUGCGCCUCUACAUCUCUAGUUGAAUUUGUUUGGCUUCGUAUCACAUCUUAUGUUUCGAAUUGAGUUUAUUCGACUUCGAGUUGUGCCUUUAUGUUUCUAGUUGAGUCUAUUCAGCUUCAAGCUGCACCUUUACUUUUUGAAUUGAGUUUGUUCGGCUAUGAGCAAUGCUUUUACAUUUCAAGUUAAGUCUGUUUGGCUUUGAGUUAAGCCUUUACGUCUCUAGUUAAGUCUAUUCAACUUCGAGCCGCAUCUUUCAUUUUUGAGUUGAGUGUGUUUGGCUUUGAACCACACCUCUAUGUUUCAAAUUAAGUCUAUUCAUCUUCAAGUCGCACUUUUAUGUCUUUAGUUAAGUUUGUUCAGCUUCGAGCAAUGCCUUUAGGUUUGAAGUUGAGCCUAUUUGACUUCAAGCCACACCUUUACAUCUCUAGUAGAGUUUGUUUGGCUUCAAGCUAUGCCUUUUUGUUUCGAGUUUAGUCUGUUCAGUUUUGAGCCAUGCCCUUACGUUUCAAGUUAAGCCUAUCCGGCUUCAAGUCGCGUCUUUACAUUUUGAGUUAAGACUAUUCGACUUCAAGCUAUGUCUUUACAUCUUUAGUUGAGUUUGUUCAACUUCAAGCUACGCCUUUACGUUUUGAGUUAAGUCUAUUCGGUUUCAAGUUGUGUCUUUAUGUUUUGAGUUGAGUCUGUUUGGCUUUAAGUCACACUUUUACGUUUUGAGUUGAGUCUCUUCAACUUUGAACUACACCUUUAUAUAUCCAGUUGAGUCUGUUCGAAUUUGAGUCACACCUUUGAGUUUUGAGUUUAGUCUGUUCGGCUUUGAGCCACACUUUUACAUCUCUUGUUGAGUCAUAUUUAGCUUCAUUCUACGCCUUUACAUUUCCAAUUGAGUUUAUUUAGCUUUGAGUUGUGCCUAUGUUUUAAAGUUUGUUCAAUUUCGAGCCACAUCUUUAGCCUUAUUAAGUUUGUUCAAGUUUAGUUGUGCCCUCACCCAUAUCCUUAGUUUUAAGUUUAUUCAGCUUCAAGCCAUGCGUUUGUCCUUGUUAAGUAAGUUCGGCUUCGAGCCACGUCUUAGUUUUGAAGUUGUUUAUCCUUGAGCCACACCUUCCUUUCUUUUUUAGUUCACUUAGGGUUUUCUCCUUCCUCGAGUUUAUUAGUGCAUUCGAGUUCAUUUUUCUUUAAGUUGAUCACUCUUUAUCUUUGUUGUCCUUGAAUUGUUCAUUGUGUCACAAUUCAGUGUUUUUCAUUGCAUAUAUACUCCCCACAUUGUCUAUAUUUUAUCCUGAUGAGUUUCUUUCCCAAUACGUGACCUCGAUCUUUGAGUUUAGCAUGCCAUGUGCUAAGACAAUUUCGAGUGCUCUUUUGUUCUUCAAUGCAAUUCACUUCAUACCAUUCAUCACUCAUGUUUCACUGUUUGUGUUCAUUUCAUUCGUGAUCUACAUCGGAGAGAGACAUAUUUGUUGGCCCUUUACUUUGUCCUAUAAUACAUAUUUUCACAUUUUUUUAUUUUCCUCUUGCCCCAUACUCAUUUUUGGUGCUCGUUUUGGAUCCUUCUUGUUUGAUCAUUCAUGGUCCCUUAUUGGUCCACGUUUACUUGACUCAUUAUUCAUUUUUUAGUCGCAUUUUAGAGGCCAUGUAGGAGGAAUUUUGAGUACAUGCAAGCUUAUUUUUUAGAGACCCUUAGUAGUUGGCUCAUAUGAGGACACGCCUCCUCACACUACUACAAAAAUCAUUUAUGGUGUCACUAUUUAUAGUGACACUUUUAAAAUAAUGACACCAUAUAGCUUAAAAUCCACAAAGGUGACACAUCAUAUAAAAAUUUUCAAUUAGGAUCAAUGAUAUUAAUUUUAGGUUUAUAAUGUCAGUUGCCAAAAAAUGACACCAUAUAAAAUAUUUUUUUUCUAAAUAUUAUAACUCAAUUGGCCCACUUUGAGAAUAAUGAUAGUAUAUAAAAAAAUCAUUGUUUCCACAUACCCACAAUCCAAAAAAAUUUCAUUCCAUAACCCUAACCAAAAUUUUUUUCUACCUCUUCUCACACCCAUAGUUAACACACAACUGUUCUUCUCUGCUUUGUGGACUCUCAGGUAACCCAAAAUCUCUUAGAUCUAUCAUUUUCAUUUAUUUUUUUAUUAAUGUCAAAAUCUUUAUGAACACAAUUGAUUUAUGUUUAUUGAUUUAAUAUAUUUGUAAUAUGGAUUGUGUAAAUAGUGUUUUUUUAUUGAGUUGUAGGAAAGUAAAAACUAGGUUUAACAUUCCACCAUAUCUUCUGGUUCAUUGUUAAACCCAUAAACCCCAAAAUGAAUGAAAAUAAGAAAAAUGAAUUAUUUUUAAAUAUCUUUUAUACUCAAGAUAAUAUAUAAACAUUUUACAAUACAAAAUUUUUUUUUGAUCUUGUAGGAAAUUUCCUUUGAUAGGAUUUUCUGUUUGUUUUCAAGGAAUAUUGUAGUAUAUUGUGAUGAAGAUAUUGAUUGGUGUUAUUUGAAAAAUAAUUUUUUAGAAAAUUAUUCUCAAUAUUAUCAUCUCCCACAAAAUGAAAAAUGAAAUAGUUUUCAUAUCAUAUUGGAGUCGGUUUGGAAUGUUGGAAUUAACAAUGAGAAAUUAAUUUUAUUUUUUAUUUAUUAAUGUAAAUGAAUUGUUUUUUUUUUAAAUUUAAAUAGGAAUGAAAAUUUUUAUAAUUAUAAAAAUGAUCAAAUAUUAUAUUUUGAUUUUUUUUUCUAUUCUUUUACAUGGUAUUAUGGUUAAUAUCUCAUCUUGUUCUAUAUAUAUUUUUUAUAUUCUUAAAAUAUGUUUUUUGCUUUUUGUUUUUACUUUCUUUUCUUAUUGUUUUUAUAUGUGUUGACCAAAAUUUAGAGUAAUUUGAGAUUGGCGAUAAAAUUUUCCUUUCAAGGUUAGAAAAUUUCUAUAAAAUCAUUUUAUUACAUAAUUUUUUCAAUUCCUUCCAUAAAACUCUUCCUUUUUCCUUUUUUAAGAAGAUGUUUGAUAAUUUUCUUUUGAUUUCUAUGAAAUUUCCUUUUAUUGGACUGUUUGUUUAUUUUCUAAGAAUAUUAUAGUAUGUUAUGAUGAGGAUAUUGGUUGGUGAUAUUUGAAAAUUAAUUUUUGAGAAAAUUAUUCUCAAUAUUGUCAUCUGCCACAAAAGGAUUUUAAAAGUAUGUUUUAUUUUUGCCUUCUUUUCUUAUUGUUUUUAUAUGCAUUGACCAAACUUUGGAGUAAUUUGAGAUUGAUGAUGAAAUUUUCCUUUCAAGGCUAGGAAAUUUCUAUAAAAUCCUUUUAUUACAAUUUUUUUUUUUUUCCUAUUCCUUCCAUAAAACUCUUCCUUUUCUUCAUUUUUCUUUUUUGAUGUUUGAUAAUUUAUUGAUCUAAAGAAUAUUAAAAGUAAAAAAUUUAAAAUAUUGAAUAUUUUUUCCUUUGAUGUUGUUAUUUUAUUAUUAUUUUUAUUUGAACAUAUUUUUCAUAUCCAAAUUUUCUAUUAAUUAUUUUACUUUUAAAAAAAAUAUCAAUUGAAGUUAUGACUGAAAAAUCAAUAAUUUUUAUGAAAGGUUCUUUAAUUCUUUCUCAUACUAAUUUUUCUCUUAACAUUUCUUAAUAGUGAAUUAGGUUUUUUUGUUUUAUAUACACAAUUUUCAUGCUUGUUAUAAUAUCAUGUCCUAUCAUAUUAGUAGUUGAAAACAUUUUUAUAUUUUGUUACUAAAAUUUUAUUUUAUAUAAUUUACAUGAAUUUUAAUGGACAUUGUUAUUUCACAAAAUGAACAUUAAAAAAAAUAUUGAAAUUAAGAAAAUCCUUCCAAGAAAUAAAAAAAUAUAAAAAGAAUUGGAUGUUAAAAAUGAUUUUUAAAAGCAUUAUGAAUUAUAAAAAAUAAAUUUAAAAGAUUAGUAUUUUCUAAAAUUUUAGAUUUAUAUUUUGAUUUUGUAGUUUUGAUUUAUUUCAUAUUUUCUUGAAUUGUUUUUAUUUGAGUUCAAAUGUGACUACUUUGUUAUGAGAUUCAUUAAAAGGAUAAUUGUUGAUUCUACAGUUAUUGCAUUAAAGGUUUUACUCAUUUAAUGAAUUGUACAUAGUUUCAUACUUCUAAUUAUUGUGAUAUUAAUGUUAUUUUCAUUUGAUUUUAGUUUGAUGACAAAAAACAUAUUCUCAAGUAGACUUUGAUGAAAUAAGAGGAGAAUGGAUUGCUUUUGUGUUAUAACUAAUCAUGAAUCAUGUUGAUGUAUCGUGAUCAUGCAUGGUGAGUCCCUUAGUUGUUAUAUAAAUUUUCCAUUGGUAUUGUAUAACAUUACUUAUUCUUUAUGAACUAUUUUUAUAUCAAAAUAGGAAAAAGAAAAAAGGAAACAUUAGUACUUAGAUUUGUUUAUUUUUUUAUAACAUCACUAUGGACCCCGCAUUUUCGGCUCGAUGCGUUUCCCACUCGAUGGCGAGCUCGAUUUUUAAUUUUGAAAAAUGAUUUUUAUUCAUUAAAAAUGACUUGGAGUCGCCACUUAUUUUUGUUUUAUUUUUAAAGGGUAAACAAAAUAAGAAAAAAAAACCCUAAGUGUGACUCCUUAUUUUAGAAAAGGCGAUCUACGAAAAAACCGGAUUGGGCUCGGGGGUUAGGUUACUUAUCGGGAAGGUACGGUAAAGACCGUAGCACCCCUCUAAGUCCCUAAAAUCGGGUCUUUACUAAUAGAAUGAAGCUGACGUGGCAGUCAACAAGAAAAUCGAUGAAUAGUCAAAUCAAUCAUGCACAAUAUGAGAAGCAAAACAUGUAUAAAGAAUGAGCGAAAUAUGAAUAGAUGCGUACCUGGACGGCAAUCACGAACGCGCUAUCAUGAAACAUGGUUAGUGAACAAUGAACAGAUAUAAUUAAGCGCAUAUCAAGGAAUAGAGUAAAUCAAUCAUGCAUAGCAAAUAAAUAAAUCAAUUAGUUAAUCGAUUAUAAAUCACAUAUGUGGGGCCCCACCAAAGUCCAUUUAUUUUGCAUGAUUUAAUUCCAAUAACUCCAUUACUUGGAAUUACGGAAAUGAAUUCUUGCUUAUUUUAAAACGUUUUAAAACGAAGGAGAUGUGGAAAUUAUUUGCUAGAAGGAAAGAUGACAACAAAAUUUUAUUGGAAAUGAGAUUUUUGAGUGAUCCUAAAAAUUCUAAAGAUGAAAAUUUGAAAAAUAAAUAAAUAAAUAAGAAUAAAAUAAAAUUAUUUGAAAAUCUAGAAAUUGGAAACUAUUUGAAAACGGGAAAUUUGGAAAUUAAUUUAAAAUUGAAGAUAAAGAAAUAAAUAGAUAAAUAAAAAAAUAAAUAAAGGACACGUGACUCAAAAUGUGGUCAUGCAUAGUUGCUUGUAAAUUGGACAGCCAGUUGCUUCUCAUACUCUCAGCGUCAAGAUGUUCCUUGAUGUAGUUGCCCCAUGUGUCAUCCUUAGCCGUGAUAAUGCAUGUGUUUUCAUCCCAAUUAAAGUCACUUUGAUCAAGAAGUGCCUUGAUAGUGACAUAUUGCAUCCUCAAGACAUCAUACCGAUUCCUCAGUUGGUCCUUAUCCAUGGAUUCCCGCGAAAUAAAUCUGUUACCAGAACAUUGUAACCAUUGCAUGCAACGCGAUAUGCGGAGUCCCUUGUGGAUGAAUUUUCGAAGCCAAAGGCAUCAAACAAGAGCAGUAUCCCUGCCAACUGCGUGUUCAUCCAGCCGCUCAAUCACGCCACUAACAUGGGCACAGCGGAAAGCAUCAACACAACCUUAAUUCCUCUCUUGUAGCUGUUUAGCAGAUCCAAGUCUGUACAAGACUUGAUCUAUGGCAACGUCAUGAGGAUAUAGCCGCGGGGUAGCAUAUGAAUCCAAUCAAUGGGAAAUGGGCAUUAGGAAUGGUGGUCAGGCUUUGCAUGAUUUCAUACACGUGAAUGAGUGAUGCUGGGACCUUCAUGGAGGCUUUGAGUGGAUCUUUGGGCGGCGGUGUAGAAAGAGAAAGGUAGCAGGAAGAAAAGAAUGGGUGUGGGCUUGGUGGUAUGAAACGUGUGGUGUUAAAGAGGAAUGUGGCGUACAUGAGGAAAGACAUGGUGAGUGGAAUGAGCUAUGGGCAUGAGAGAAAUAGAGAAAAUGGGUAUGAAGGUUAAUGAGAGAGAACGGGCGUGUGAGGGUGGUAAAGGAAAAUGGAUGAUGGAUGCACAUAGGUGGAAAUGGGAAUGGAUUUGAUAAAGCAUGAAGGUAGGAAUGGGAUUCGGGUGAUAUUAGAUUACCAUGCAUGGAGAAUGUAUACGUGGAGGUCUAUUAUGCAAAGGAACUAAAAACGGGUCAAGUGAAGGGCUGUUUAGGGAAUAUGGCAUCAGUUUCAGGUUGAGGGGAUGGGGCCCUUGGGCCAUUUGGCUACCCACAAGUAUGAUCUACAAAAUAGGGUCCUUAUGUCAGGGUCAACUUUCGGAUUUUUGCAAAGCUGAUGCUACCAAUUUAAACUCUGAUCAAUCAGUGUCCGCGAUCUUGAGUCCUUCAAGCUGAUGCAACGCGUCUUUAGGAAGGUAGAGCCUCCAAUGAAUACUUUAGAUUUCGAUUUUUGAACAAUCAUGGCAGAACCCUUCAUCGAUUGGCAUUAUCAUUACCCUGGGAUUGCAGCAAGAUGCAUGGAAGGCUUCUUCACUAUUAUCACAAAUGAGCAUAUACAAUAUAUUUUCUGAAUGACCACACGAUUUACAUGGUUGGGAUGAGUUGCUAUUCCCACUAACUCCCAGAACUUCAAGAAGCUCCUGACUCCUCAGUAUAGAAAUGCGUGUAAUCAUUACCCUCUUGUUUGGCAUGACCUGUGCAUACCCAAGAAUGACACCUACUAACCAACCAAUUGAUCCUUAUUGCAUUUAGAACUCAUCUGCAUCCCCUAGUCAAUUUCAGUUUCUGACAGUUAAACCAAAAAUCCCCAGUCUCAGCAAUGACAGUAGUCUCACUUGACAACAUUUUCUGUAUAUGCUGGAACAGAACAUAAACCCUCAAAGGCUCCUCGGGAUCAGACGUAGGAGACUGUCCCUCAGGAACGUAAACUCUAUGGUAGAACUCAUAGGCAGUGAUAUUGCAUUCGAGCCUCUUGGAGAAUGACUUGAAGAAAUCUUUCAUCAAAAUGCACCCAAGCUCAAGCCCAUAAGCACACCAAACACCAUUAUUGGGUUCGUUACAUCACCAUGCUACGGAGUUUAUACAACAGGAAGCUCUAACUGAUGAUGGUUCUGGUAGUGAUUUGCCAAUGGGAACUUGGCCAUCAAGUGAACCCGAUAUCAGAAGCUGAAGUUAUUACCUUGUACUCUUCUAUUCCCCCAUUAUCAGCAAUUCCAAUGGAAACAGUAGGAGAGCCUCAAGACUGUGUAUCCAUUCAAUAACUCUGUUUCUCAGUCAGGAUGCAAAAAACUCCCCAAUGAUUCUACAGCUGCAACCACAGGAGCCCCACUACUACCAGUUCCUUCACCCAUUCUGACAGCAACCAAAACCAGACCAAUGACUUGAACUUUAGACUUCCCCAAUCCAUUAAAUCCAGAAACCACUUGGAGUUAGAAACAUUUUCUACCUCAUCCUAGAACUUUCAGGUAUUUUACAAAGUAAUGGUCGGUAUUUUUCAAAAGCAAAAAGAAAAAAAGGUAAGACUCAAGAAACAGAGCAAACUCAGAAUUCGUUAAUCAAGACUCCAUCUCAUGCUGCACUCAAUGGAUCUAAACAGGUGAGACAAGCAGGGAGCAGUGGCAUGAUUAAUCAAUCUCAAAAAUAAUCCAUAUAUCGGUUAUUGACAGGAAAAAACAAAGAAAGCAGAAAAGAACCCAAACAGAGCAAAUACAAAAACAAACUCAAAUUCAGCAAAUCAAUCCACAAUCAAGAAAAACUAACAAUGCUCAAGUAGCCUGAGAAAAAUGAUGAAGAACAGUGAUAAUGAAAAAUACCCUAAAAAAAAGAACACGAUACUUCAUACCUGUGAAACUCCUCUCCGAUGAAGCUCACCUACCAAACCAAUCUGCUCCCAUCCUUGGCACUAGAACCCCUCUCCGUAGCAGCCUAAGCUCAAGGAAAUCCCUCUCCAGACCGAUCUCUUCUUUCUUCUCAAGUUCUUUUCUCCUCCUCUCAAAAUAUCUCUCCCUGAAAAACGGCAGCCAAAACCUCCCUCUGCAGCUGGCCUGCCCCCGUAACAGAAUACCCCCCUCUAGCUUUCUCACUACCCUCAAAAGCACCCUCUCUCUCCUGCAGCUGCAAGCCUCCACUACCCCCAUGCAGCUGGCAGCCUCUACUCCUCUAACGGCCAGCAGAUUCUCCUUCUAGAAAAUUCUUUCCCUUUUCCAGGUGUCUUUCCCUGAUUGGCCCAUCAAUUCCACUAUAGUGAUUCUACAGUGACCAAUCCUAAGAAGGCACGUGGCCUUAUGAGAUUGCGACACUUGGCAAACACAGGCUGCCAAAAAGUGAGCCCCCAAAUGGGGGUCUACAAUCACAUUUUUAUUUUCAAUAAGAACUCUAAAACUCAUUAAACUAUAAAAUGCAGAUAUACACUCUUGAGAGGACAAUAUGAAGAAUAAAAAGAAAUAAGAAAGAAGCAACAAGAUUUGGAUUUUUAGAUGUGACUCUUAUGUCAUACAUUAUACGACAUAAAUGUUAUUUUAUUUGGAAUUGAGAAUUGUGGGUUUUUUUAUGCAACUCUUGUGUCAUUUGGUUAGCCGGUUUUAUGCAUAUGAAACGUAAGUAUACAUGAAUGUUGGGAUGCUUAACAUUUCUAAAUCAUGUUUUAAUGUGUAUUCACUUUUCUUUUUUAGUUUUGGUGGGUUUGAUAUACUAUGUUUUGUGAACAUUUGAUAUACAAAUAUUAGUGGAUGAUGUAAUGUAUUAUAGGUUAAUCCAUAAGCAUAAAGAAAAUAUAAGUUAAAUGUAAUAUGAUUAUUAUAUUUAUGGACAAAAUUUACACACGUUGAUCUUAUUUAUUAAUAAGCAUUACAAAAAUCUAUAGGCUAGUCAACAAAAAACAACCAUAUCUUCUAUAAUCAUUUACAAUGAAGUGACACCAUAAUUCAAAGGUGAUGCAUUUAACGUGACAUCAUAACUCAAAGGUGAUGCAUUUAAUAUGACACCUUAUAUAUCUCACAUAACUCUAUAUCAAAUUAAGCAUCACUAAAAAUAUAUGGUGUCGCUUCUAAAUGCGUCACAAUUUAUCUGUUUUGGUGUCGCUUCCAAAUACGUCACCAAUUGGUACCCUCUAUGGUAUUGGUGGAUAAGGUGACGCUAUGUUGUAGCGACACCCUAUGUUUAGGGUGACUCGUUAUAAAUGUCACCAUAUAUGUUUUUCCUUGUAGUGUCAUUGGGAAGGUUUUUUCCAUUUUUUAGAGGGGUUUUCUAAAGGCUUCUAGGGUGAGGACACUGUUCUCAUAUUGGCUUUUUUUCCCCCUUUUUAGAGGGGUCUUCUAAAGGCUUCUAAGGUCAACUAGGAGAGCAUGUUGAUUGAUGCUUUGAUAUGGAUACCAGAUGCCACAUUUCAUCUUGUUGAACACUGGUUAGCUAUGGACUUGUUACUGCUUUACUCUUCUGUUUCGAGUUAACUUUGGAAAUGAAUCUGAAUAUAGACUAGUAUUUGCAUCUUGAUGUUUAGAGAAUCAUAUUUUAGUUGUUGUUUAAAAUUCAUUUUGGCAUGUUCGAUUGCUUCAAGCUCAUUUAUACAAUAAUGAAAUGGAGAUUUAUAUAUUUGUUAUUGGGUUGGCUCUCUGUUUGGUUAUCUUUAAGUUCUGCAUCUUUUCUUUUCUCGUUGCCUUAUCUUCUCUGGGGGGUGUCGUUUGAGAAAUACAUAGUGGAAAAAAUGGGAAGCUGAAGGCUUAUCCUGGCAUCGACCUCGCGUUAGGGAACGACUUGAUCGAAGAACAUAUGAAUUUUUCAAAUACCCAGAACUCACAUCAAAAGAAGCAUCGGAGUCAAGGUCAAACACAUCAUCUGACAAGGAAUAUACCUUUGCCUUUGGUGACUUUAUUGACUUCUGCAUGAUGGACAUCCGAGGGUGGGGACUGGAAGAGAAAUGAUGAAUUUGCCCAAGAUAGUUUGUCUAGAAAGGAACUUGUAUUAAAUGAUGAUUACCCACUAUGUCAGAUGUUGAAAUUUGGGUAUGACAACUCCUGGUGGCAUCAGAAAGAUGAGUUGCACAAUCCUUCUCACAGUUGAAAGCUUGACCUCCGAAGUUGGGCUUUUUCAUGGCCAGACAAGAACAGUGAUCACAAUAGUAUGAGCCAAGCCUGUCACGACCCAAAUUCUAGGUGAACUUAACCAUGACUCCAAAUCAAAGGUUUAAACUUAAAGGUUACAUCUAUUCAAUCUAGUAGUCAAUCCUGAUAACUUGAUUUUUUUUUCUUGAUAAAACAAUAUCUAAUCCCAAAUCAAUUUAUUAAGCUAAUAACUUGAUUUUUUUUCUCAAUAAAACAACAUCUAGUCCCAAAUUAAUUUAUUAAGCUAAGAUUUACUAUAUCAUAUUAUUUGAUUUUAUUUUUCAAAAAUCAACCAUUACACUAUCACUUAUUUGCAAGUAUAAUAAAUCUGUCAAACAUCUUAUCACCCAAAAUGAUAACCCAAAUAUUUACAAAAAAAAGUUUUACAAAUUAAUAAAAUAUAGUCUAAGUUAUAAAAGUUCUUAUAAAUUAAAUUAGUAUGUGCUAAAAUAUAAGAUAACUGAAAAAAAAAAAAAAAAAAAAAAAACCAUUAUUAUUAUGGUUCCUUAAAAACUAUAUUUGCAUCUAAAAAUUUUAGAAAAUAAAGGGAUGGACAUUUCCACAUUACUUAGUAAGGUAUUUUACACCCACACAAAUUAGAAAUUCUAAGUCAAUAAAACACAAUCAUAUAUCAAAGUGUAAUUUUACAUCUAAUGUACUACAACUAUAUACAUUUAAACUAAUCAAAAUUAUCACUAACCAUAAUCAGACUCCAAAUAAUACAAAUAACAUUUAUUAUCUCCCAAAAACAUAAUGUGUAAUUUUGUUUCCAAAGAAAAAUAUAAAAUAAAAGUUUUAGGGUUAAACCACCCUACAUCAAAUUUGAAAAUCUAAUUGUUAAAACUAAAAUCAGACUCCGUAAAAAUGUUCUUUAUGUUAAAUAGAGUGUUUUGCUAAAAUCUCAUGCAAAACAGAAUUCAUUUGGCUUGUCGGAUGACAACCCAAAUAUUUGUUGCACCUUCCUUGUUUCUUCUCUUCCUUUGUGUUUCCGUUUGCACUCUUCUCUCUACGGAUCUGGUAAAUAGGGUAGCCCCUGGUACGCUUGGGGCUGGAUUGAAUCCUAUUCGAACUAUAUCUAACUUGAUCUUGUCCAAGCUAGGAAGGUUUUUGGUCUCGAUGACAUUGGAAGUUUCAUCAUUGCUAAAGAAAGGGGCGGCCAAAAAGGCUUAGCGACGACCCUCUCUCGACUUAAAGGAAACGACUUGUCCCAUCCAAUGCCCUACUUUUAAGUGCUCGGUAUGUUCACUUAAUCAAAUCUAGAAGAAGCUUGGCCUCUGUAGAGCAUGAAAAGGCUAGUUUUGAAGCUUUUAAUCGAGGACUUAUUUGCCCUAAAGCCUGACUUCUUAGGAAGAGAAAUGGGCUUGACUUCUUCAUCAACCUCGGAAUCGCAUUCUAUCACACUGGUGGUACUUCUUGUUGAAUUAAAAGAUUGGAUGAGUCUUUUUGUACCCACCCGCCACCCCUGUUUGAGAGUGAUUAAAUAUCAUAACUUCCUUAAUGGACCUACGGACUAGCUAAGGUUUACUUACAUAGUUGUUCUUUCUUUUCUCAAUUUCAAGUUAAAGUUAGCGUUUUUCAGCUUACUGUUUGCUUUGGUUGAGUAGCCGCCUUAUGACCCUUUGCUUUUGAAUGAAAUCAUCUAGAACCUCUCAGAUCGGAUUCCAAUCACCUUAGUGAGUCUCCUAGGUGCGAAGCCAUUCUUUAAGCCCAAAACAAAAGGAGAAGUGAAGUCACUAUCUAGACAAAGGGGCUUGCCUACUUAUAAGGUAGGAGUUCACACCGGGGAAUCGCUUUCUUAAUUAAUUAAAAGCGAGCCAAACUCACCACCUCAUGUACCAAAGUCAAACGGUUGUUCUUCCUUCCCCGCUCCCUUUUUCUCUACAUAUGUGAUGGCGGGCAGAGCGCUCUAUAUGACCGGUGGUGGGUUACCAGAGAAGAUGGGACAACUUCUUUCUCUCUUGCCUUGCUCAAUCUUCCUUUUCUGAUUGAAAGUAGCAAGCCACACCACUACUGGUACAGAGGUCGGAUAGAAGGUUGCUUUUUCUAUAUGUUCAGGCGAAGAACAUCUACGGCACAGUCUUCGCCAAGCAAGAUGAUGUAACUCCUCAAAACAUAAAAAGAGCUCUUAUAUAUGUAAAAACAUGAUAUAUGUGUAAAUGAAUUAUAGCCAUUUUCAAAUAGAUCAGGAUCGUCAGAUGUUUGAAAUGGAAAGUCAAUUUUUCUAUAUGCAUGUAGAUAUCUAUAGGGGAUUAUAUGAAGGGGAUGUUAUUAUUUUAGAUAUAAUCAAUUCCCUUCUCGGAGCCCACUAAGAUCCGGAUCUCCUACGGAAAUGAUUUAGAAGAUCCAAAACCAAAAAUAGUGGUAUUUGCUAGCAACAACAUAAUGGAGGCAGUCAAUCAAUAUAUAUUGAUCUAAAAUCUGAUUCAAAUCCAAUAUAGCACCUAUGGGUACAUAAAAGAAAGGCAAGAGAGAAAAGAAGUCCAUACUUUUCAACAAAGCUUUAAGUGAGUAGGGGUGUAGCAGAUUCAUGCACGUCGAAUAUAAAUGCAGUUGGAUGAGUAGUCGCGGAUUCACAAUGCCGGUUAAAAAGCCAAUCUUAGGGUUGCAUUCACUCCCCUUCUAUAUCUUGCAUCUAUAGUAUUUUUGUCCUGGUGGAUCUCUUUAUCAUUUAAUAAAAGUUUGGAAUCUUGGGUUACUAAUUGGUGGAAUACUAGGCAAUCUAAAACUUUUUUGAAUGAUAUUCAAGAAAACAAUCAAUUUCCCAUCAUUUGCACUAUGAAUGGAAAUGAAAUUCUAGAUCUAGAAUCAGAUGAAUGUGCAACAGUCAAUUUCCUCCCUCACAACCUAAUUGUCCACUAAAAACAACCUUUUUUACUAUACGCUAUUUGGCCGCUAGAAGAACUUCAGUUCUUAUAGGUAAAUGCUCAAUACCCAAGUAGGCCUACAAAGUUGAUCAUGAUCAAGUGCUUUUUGGGUCGUCUUAGACCUUGCAAUAUCUCUCCGGCCCUCUAGCACUCUGUUAUGGCUCAAUCACUUACUCUAGUUCUGGAGUUCUAGGUCCUCUAGCUAUUAGUGCAGGUAGCUCUCCUUCUGGUAAUGCAUUAUAGGUUGUCUUCCUUCCACCUUCCUGUUUUCAAGAAAGCUUAUUUUCUUUCUAAGAAAAAUCAUACAAUCUCGUAUGAGAACGGGAUUGAUGGGAGGCAUAUGCUCCCAGGCUACACAAUGUCUUACAGGGCUUACCCAGUUAGAAGGUAUGUAACUAAAGUCUCAAGAGAAUUGAAAUCGACGAGAAAUCAGAAUCAAUGUUAGAGAUUAGACUUGGCAUGGAAAAAGGAGUAUAGUAAGAUGAUAGAGACCUCGCACGAGAUGCUUACUCGGAUUCAUGCCCAUAAAGAGUAGAAGAUUCAACACAAGUGCAAGAAUAGGUUUCACAGUUAAGAAAGGUUGAGAUUCAGGUGAGUGAGUGAGUCCUCACUGACUUGAGCGAUUUCGAUCACCUAGCAGUUUAUUUGGUAGGUAACAUCGCUAAAGCAUAUCAUCUGAUCUACAAAUGAAGGAAAUCAAAGUGAGACGACACCGUCCUCUGUAACGCAACGAUAGUUGGCCCUUUAUCAUCAACUAUUUGGUAGACUUGGUAAAAGAUGUAAGGCUUUAGCUAGUACACGAAAGUGCAUACCAUGAUUCUUCUGUCUAUCAAUAACUGCAUGCAUUGCACGAUGGAUGUGAAGAAGUAGGCCAUUAUCUCGACAAUAAUGAGCCAAGCUAGUAUUUGCAGUGAAUCCCCCUGUUAAGUAGUCACAUUAAUGGAACAAGAACACAUUAGCGUAUGAAACAGAGCUGAAAGCGCGAGUGCACAAUCUCAAAAACGGCAAAUUCACGUUCUACUUCCUCAAUCUCGAACUCUGUCUAUUGGGAUGAGCUCCCCUUACCUGCGCUAUUCUAUGAACGAACUUCCUUUAUAAACCAUAAAACUGGAACAAUCACUGUUCCAGGGUCUGUCUCAGAGUUCUAUCUCGUGCUUGACAUCAAUUGCAUCCAAACCUUUAAUCGGGUAUACUUUCCACAAUAACAAGCGAGUCAUAGUUAGGUAAAAGUUAUACAGAAAGAUGACAUCGUUGGCGAACUUGAAGCUAGUUAGGUAAAUCCCCUUAUAUUCUUCUUUCUUCUCCCAUAAGACAUUCCUUAUUAUUAUUAUUAUUAUUAUUUUCAUUUUCUCAAUUUCUUUAUCUUUUCAACUUUAAGACACCAUUUUGCACUUCUUCUUUUUUAUUAUAAUUAUUAUUCUUUAUCAACCAUACCAUGUUAAGAAAUUUAUUUAUUUUAAUCCAAAAAUCUACUUAAAUACAAUUUCAUACUUUUCUUAAUAAAUUAUAUAUAUAUAUAUAUAUAUAUAUAUAUAUAUAUAUAUAUAUAUAUAUAUAUAUAUAUAUAUAUAUUAUUUCUUAUUAUAACAAAUUUAAAAUGUCACAUGUAUCAUUUUUUUAAUAAAUCAAAUUAUUAUUCUUUAUUUCAUAUUCUACAAUUAUAAAUUAUACUCAAUAUAUGAUUUAUUGUCUUACGAAAAAUAUACUGCUAUAUUCUUAAUUAAAUUUAUUACAAGUCUACUUUUCAAAAAAAAAUUAAUUUGACUUUAAUUACUUGAAACAUUUUUAUUAUGAAAUUCAUUUAGAACAUGAUUUCAUUAAUUAUAUAUUUAAAAAAAAUCAAUUUUAGAAAAAAAUCUGAAACAUAAAAUAAUUCUUCAACAUCAAGAAGCUGAAAUUCAUAAUAAUAUUUAAUCCUUUAAUUUUACCAAUAUUUAUUUACCAAUAAAAUUUAAGCAAUAUUCUGAAAUUUAAUUCCAUUAGUUAUUUAGUCAUUCAAUUUAUAAAAUCAUAUUCUCAACCUUUGGUAUAACUUUUAUUUAAUUUACUUCAUUUGUCAAAUUUCUCAAUUGAAUCAAAAUUUCAAAAGUUAAAUUCACUAAAUUCAUAUUUAAUUAAUUUAGCCUUUUAUAUUCCCUAAAUUAAUAUAUCAUAAUUUACUCUUAAUGUAAUUUCAAUUCAAUUUUAUUUGAUGUUUUGUAAUUCUAUAAGGUUUAAUUCUAAUUAUAAAAAUUAUUGAUUUCUUAUAAAAUUAAAUUCAAUUUCUUUUUAAUUAUCCAUUAUAACAAUUUGAUAUAAUCUAAAUUUUUAUCAAGUUUUUCUUACUACAAUUCUCUAUAAUUAAAUUAAUGGUCAUAAUAUACUUAAUAUUCAAUUUUAGAGACUAUAAUAUCAAUAAUUAUUUGAUGGUUGAAUUUUUUUCCAAAUUUAAAUUUAAUUUUUGAAAUUCCUACUCUUUGCAUAUGACGUGAUGGAAUUUUUAUACUAUUGACUUUUUAUUAACUUUUUCAAAAAAUUUCUUAAUUAAAUAUUAACACGGGGAUUUUCGUCAUUCUUUUUUAACAUUUGACUAAUGAUUUUAUGAUAACUUUAAUCUGACAUGUCAUUAAAAAUCCGGUUGUUAUAGAGCCAGUCAAAUUAAGCCUGUUAUCCGAGGAGUGAAGCCACUGCCUUGUUCUAUCUCCGAUGGCCUGCUCAGCUCCUUCAACCCCCAUCGCUCUCCUCUUUCCAAGUUCUCCAUUUUCAGUUUAGAGCCAACAAGGAUCGCAGAAAUCCUUAAAGAUUGACCUACAUGGUAUCGUGAGUACCGCGAUGUGGAUGUUCUUAAUGUGUUGUCUACUAGAGCCAAAUGGGUGUUUGAUAAGACCCAGUGAAGGUGUAAAAAUUAUAUGACGAAGCUUGCAGAAAGACUUUGAGUUGAGGGAAGGCAUCUCAACGAAGUUGGGCUUUUGUAUUGUGAAUCUGGCAAAUUACCUAUACUGCAUGGAUCAUCACUCUUUUAACGUGGAGGUACACAGGUCCUUUGCAAUGUGACACUUGGGGCACCACAUCAAGCUGGUGAUGCUCAACGACUGGCUUCUCUGGACGGGUCCUCCAACAAAGCGCUUCAUGCUUCACUGAAAUUUCCCGGAGUUCUCAAUUAAUGAAGUUGGCCAACUCCUUAACCUGCACUGUUCCGCAGCAGUCACAUAAAGAUUUGACAUUGAAAUUGAUCAGGUUUUUCCUCUGCCAAUGGUGGUGGGCGCGCUUUGUAUGUAGAUUCCGAAGGAACUUCCAACUUGAUGGCUGUGAGUGGUAAGGUUGGAGAAGAUACUACUGGGUCUGCCCCAUUAGUUUUCCAUUGUUAAGGUAGUUUGGUGCACAGCUUCCUGGAUCAUCUACACCACGAGCACCUCCAGCCGCCUGUUUUGAUCAGUUUCUGGAUUUCCAUCUCCAAAUUGUGCAAGCAGUGACUGAUAUGGUGUCCAUACAAGCGGCUACUGAAAUGGUUCAAACCCCAAAUGCUGAAGGGAAAGGAGCUUUUGGAAAAUAUCAUGAAGAAGACUCACCCAUCUUACAUGAAAUUAUACACAACUCCAUGGACCAGAACCGGAACCCAGACUUAAAUUUGUCCAAGAGAAGAUCAGUGUAAUACAAGUCAACUGCAGUCAUUCCUGAAAGAAGUGAUGAGAAGAGUAAACCUGGAAAAGCAGUGAGUGAAACAAGUUUUGUGACAUUGAACAAUUUGCAGAUGGGUGUUCCCACAAGCUCCUCUCCCCUCUUCCUACGUGCAUGAAAUUCCUACGUGCAUGGCCACCUUCUUAGGUGUGCAAUUCUGCGCAUAAUUCUCAAGCGUACUAUCACCCUCUUCUUUUUUGAAAAAUUGAUUUUAAAUUUAAAAUUUUGACAAAUUCAUUUCCCUUUUAAAAUCCCUCAGUAAUUCUCUUCAAAUUAAUAAAAUCUAUUUUCAAAAAAAAUUUGCUGCCAUUUUCCUUUUGGCAUAGACCUUUUUCUAUUUUCUUUGAUUUUUAAUCAUUUUCCAAUUUUUUAAUAAAUAUGAAUAAAUUCUAUGUUUUUAAAAAUAAUGGAAUUUUGUCCAAAUUUCUAUUAUCUUUUUCUCCAUGAUCAUUAGAAAGAUGAAAUUCCUAAAAUUAAUUCAUGCAAAUAAAUUGGACAUUGGUAGGCCCAACAUAUGAAUUUUUCUCCUUUGAUUAUUGUUUUUAAUUGCUACACUUGAUUGACUAAUGAUUGAUCUCUGUCUUGCUCUAGCAUACAUGAGAUUAUUUUGUGCUUGUUAUUGUACACUAACCAUGUUUCUCACGAAGCGCUCAACUUAUUCUCAAGUACGUUCUUUCCUUUUCCUAUUCGUUUAGUUAUAACCAAUGUUUUCAAAAUCGGACCGAUCAUUGAAUUGGAAAAGUUACUGGUUCACGGUUCACUGGUCGAAUCGGCGGUCAAAUCACGGUCAAACUAGUGAUGUCAUAAAUAUAUAAUUUAUAAAUUAUUAAAAUUUAAAAUAAUUAUAAAAAUAAAAAUAAUAAUUUAUAUAUUAUUUAAAAAUUAAAAUUUUAUUUAAAAAUUAGAAAAUUAGUUUCAAAUUAGAAAUUAAAAUUAAAAUCAUAAUUUUAAUUUUAAUUUUCAAAUUUUCAAAUUCAUUUUUAAAUAAAAAAAAACUUAUUUUAAAAUCAUGAAUUUAUUUAAAAUUAUAAUAUUUUCAUUAAUUUAAAUUAAAAUCAUAAGUUUUAAACAUCAUGAAAUAAAAAAUAAUAAAUAUAAAAGAAAAUAAAUUAUACUGAAAUGAGGUAAAAAAUAAUUUAAAAAAAUGGAAAAAGAGAGGAGAGGAACAAGCAAAAAAGGGUUCCAACAGGGUUUUGGGGGGUGGGGUUUCCAUUUCUAGCGCCAGGUGGGGGCCCUUCCGGUGGGCCAAAAGGGGAAAAGCUUUUUGGCUUUUCCAGUGCAAGGGGUGCCGAUGGGGUGGGGGGUUCCAAUGGGCAAGAAGAGCUCUUCCAGCGCACGCGGGUAGGAGUGGCGACAAUGGGGAAAAAAAAAAAGUUGAACCGGAUGGUUCCAUCCGAACCGUCCGGUUAGUCGGCCGAACCACCGAUUUAACUAGUCCGACCACUUUCCAGCCCAAUUGACCAAACCAGAUUGAAACCGUGACCAGCCGAUCCAAUCCAAUUUUUAAAGCCAUAAUUAUAGCUCAACCAUAACACAUCAUUGAUCAUUACUUGGUAUUUGUUGACUUUUUGAUCAAUUGUCAUUCUUAUAUUAACUUGAUUAUUAGAGACCUAAUUUUAGGGUAUAAAGGGGUAUUACGAUUUAUCAUCCUACCUUCUCAACAAGUAACCUGACCCUUGAACCCAGACUUGGUUUUUCAUAAACCCGUAUUUUCCUUUCAAGUUUCAUACUUAGAAUUUUUUUUUUUCCAUUUAAAAAUAAAAUAAAGAUACGUGGCCUAAAACCAUUUUCAUCAAUCCAAAGUGAGUCUUGUCUUUUUUUUUUUCAAGUAAGGACACGAUCACAGGUCUACAAUACUAUUUUAAUAUAUAUAAUGAAAUAUAGAUAUUAACGCCAUCUUAAAGAUAUAAUUAAAUUUUUUGUUUAAAAUAAAUUAUAAUAAUUUAAAAAUAAUAUUUUAUUUAAAAUAAAUUUUAGAAUAAGCAAAGUUGAUAUGUGGACAUAGAGAAUCGUGAACCAUUGUAAAUGUAUUGAUUAUAUCUCUUUCUUCCCAUUUCAUUUUUACUUUAGUUUUUAUUAUUCGUAUCUUUUUCUACUAAAAUUUGAAAAAGAAAUUCACAUUCACUUCUUCUUGGGUGUAUAUCAUAGGAUUCAAAAUGUUUUUAAAAAUUAUUAAAUUUGUUAAUUGUGACUAUAUGCUUAUUUAGGAUCCAUUGAUCUUAAUAACUUUCUUCCCGAUAUAGGAAGAAAAUGACUAUUCCAUUAAUGCAGCAUGCAUUGCUGCUUAUUUAUCAAGCAAAUUACAUUAUUAUUUUCACACCAAACCUCCAAAUUCUCCAUGCAUAUACGCAUCCUAUACUGCAUGGCCAACUUCAGAGAGCUAAAACAAGCUCUUAUUGAAUACAUGAUAGAUAAUGUCCCACUGACCCUUUUACUCUGAUACCCUGAAAUGAGAAAUUUGGAGGUUUUCCACAUCAAGCUUCUUGAAAUUACUGCGCCUUCUCGUAACAAAGAACUUUCCCCAGUUGUAUGCUCUAUACUUUGGCUUUUCCCCCUUCGUCAGCUCCUCCAAGGGCUUCACCCAAACAUGGUGCCCGGGACUCAAAACGAACGGAAUCGAGAACCUUUCCCUCUCUGAAUUCACCAUCACCCUGUGCUCCACACUUUCAUAAGUAUCGUUGCUCCAGACCUGGUUUAAUAUCAGUAGAAUUAACCAAAUGAGUGAAAAAUUCCUUGAGCCAAACACUACUGAUAAGCAUGUACUUGUAAUUCAAAGUUCUUGGGUGGUACCUGAACUAUAUCCCCAACAUUGAUGAUAUAAGCAUCUGGGGUGGGCUUAACUCGAACCCAUUCUCCAUCAGUUUUUCGCUUUACUUCCAACCCUCCAACAUCAUCCUGAGCAAGGAAAGUUAAGGCUCCGGAAUCCUUGUGGCGACCAAUGCCCAGAGCUAGGUGAGGAAUGGAGCAAGGUGGGUAGUGAUUGAGGCGGAUGAAGUUUGUUGAUUCUUCAAAGAGAAGAUUGAAUCUGUUCUCUGGCAAACCUAAGCUCAGAGAGAGGAGUCCCAACAGAUUGACAGCUAGUUUUUCCAUUUCUCUAGCAUAUUCUUCACAUACCUCCCUGUAUAAAUCAGCUCAAUUAGAACAAAAAAACUUAAGUAAUUCACUGUAGUGACUGUGCCUUAGCUGGUGGAAUUUGUACCUUAAUUCAGGAGGGUACUGAGGCCACUGAUUGAUCAGCUUUUCGAGCUCCUUGUCGUCAGGAUUAGGCGAAGCAGGGAUGAAGGCGGGGGAUGACGCCACGAUAUCAAAGACUUCCUUCCAGUCCCUAACGUUCUUGGUAUGCUCAGUAUCGAAAUACCCAAAAGGAUUCACCUCAUCUCUACUCACCUUCCUCUUCUCCUCCAAUGGCAGAGCGAAGAACUUCCUCGCCGCAUCCUCAAUUUUACGACGAGACUCGGAGGGCACCCCAUGGUUGAUGACUUGAAAGAAGCCCCAGUUCUUGCACGCAUCAGCUAUUUGAGAAACAUGGUUGGAAGCAUUGGCGGAAGAGAGAUCAAUGAGGGGGAUGCCUUCAGCUUCGAUAACAGCGAGCUUAGGCCUAUGUUGGGUGUCUUGGAUGAAAGCUGGAUCGACCUCUCCCAUGGCUGUGGUAGUGGUUAGAACUUAGAACUUAGAAAUGGCGGUUAUGCACUGCUGGUGUUAGCUGCACGUGAAGAUGGUGAGGGGGACUUGGCCACUUAGCAGGUGGUUUUUGUAGUGUAGUGGGGUUGGUUUAGUACAUUGAACCUGGACAUAAUUGGGGUUACGUUUUAAGUUUUGGUUGGGGGUGUGGGCUCAUGGGUUGCGCAAAUGUCAAUGAUAAUUGGUCAAGUGAUACCAAGUUAUUUCCAAAAUCUGCAGCCGCAAAGGGUAUCUCUCUCGAUGAUUUUGGCAACGUACAGCACUCUCCACAUUCAAAUGUUUGAUCAAAGAUACGUUUUGUUUAGUGUCGUGUAUAUUUUCGAAUUAAUUACUUCAUAUUUAGGGAUACGUUUUGUUGAGUAUCGUGUAUAUUUUCGAAUUAAAAACUUCAUAUUUAGGGAAAAGUGUGCUUCAAUACGCUAAUAUAAAAAUAUCAGCAAAAUAAGAUCCUAAUUUUUCAUAUUUUAAGGUUUAUAAUGCAAUUGGAAAUUAUUUGGAGAAUUAUGCAUUUUCAGCUCAUGUGUAUUUCAAAUCCAAAAUGCUCUCCACCUUGCCAGCCAAGUCUUACACGUUGAAAGUAAAGAGAGAAAAAAUCUUCAAAAAGCCACCAAAACCAAUUUCUCUUUCUUUUUGAGUUAUUUGAUUCAAAAGAUCAAUAAAAUCCAAUUUUUAAAAUUUAACCCUUUGUUCUUUUUUUUUUCAUUUUGAUAAAAAUAUCUUUACCAUUUUCUUGUAGAAAUAACAUUUUUUUUAAACCUAUAUGUAAAUACUUGAAAUGGUAAGAGACGUGUACAUUAAAAAAAAGUUAUUUUUCAAGUAAAAAUAUAGAAAGGAUUAUUUCAUCCCUUUUAACCAAAUAUUUAACAUGAUCAAGGACUAUUCCCUAAAUGAAGGCAUACGGUAGCAAAUACCCUUAAUCUAAACAUUAAAAGUACAACUUAUCUAGUAUCAAACACUCUGUUUUAAAACCCAUAGCCACUCCAAAUAUCCCAAAUAUUCUUUUCUAUGCAACCUCUCUCUCUCUCUUUCUCGCACAAACACACUAAAAUAUUUUCUCAAACUUGGAUUUUUCUCCACAACUCAACCCUAACUUCCUUUCUAUUUGUACCAAGGCUAGAGAAUAUAGUUUAUACUUGUAUUCCUUCAUGUACCAAGCCCACAAGAUGAUCAAUAAGUUUCUCUCUAGAUUUUACAUUGGAGUUGAUUGAUGAUAGUACCCUUAUUAGGUAGUAUAUUAUCUUCCUUAGGUACUGCUUUUUCCAUCCUUAGAUACUACCUUUGUAACCUUGGGUGCAUGAUUGAAUCCAUUGUUUCAUGGCUACUUCAAGUAAGUCAGGAACUUAUGUACAUGUGUGCUACAUGUCUUAUAGAUACUAAAUUUACAUUCUUUAGGUACUACCUUUACCUUCCAUGGGUACAAAUACGGUUAAUGAUAAGAAUUUUAAUAUAAAAAAGGGAAAAACCCUGCUUGAUAAUAAAAUUGCAUAUAUUUUCUUUCUUUCUUUCCUUUUUGAUUGAUUUUUUUUUUUUUUGGUCUUUGCUUUGGUUUUUAUUUAUGUCUUUGUUUCUUUUAGUCUUUGUGUGUGUGUGUUUUAUUUUAUCUUAUUUUCAUCUCUAUGCAGAAGAUGUAGAAGAAACAACAUCACAUCAUAAGGUGCAUUUUUCCGUUCAUUUAAGACUAAAGGUUUUGGAUUCACAAAAUGGUGGGAACUAAGGGUGAGAAGCUGGAAAAAUGUUGGAUUGAGCUACAUUUGAUCAAUGGUGAAUUUGCAAAAAAGAUUGUAGGAGAGUGUAGACCCUCAAUUUUGUCCCUUUAGCACAUGUUUUAAAGUCCAUUACCAAUACUUUACAGUAAUCUCUUGGUAGCCCAUAGCUACUCACGCUACUUACCUUUCUUGAGCCACCUCGGAGACUCUAGUUGAGGGAUUGCCUAACCCCUUAUUGUGACCCUUGGCAGUUUUGAUUUAGACUUAAGGUUUUCAUUCCUUCUUAGGAUAGCUCUUAGGUGCACUUUUAGGUCCACUUAGGCAUCACCCUUGGCUAAUUUAGACAUUUUGGGCCCGUUUAGACACCUUAAACUCGCCUAGAUUCACCUUAGACCCGCUUAAGCACUUCAUUGGGGCUCAACAUUUUUAUAUAAUCUCUUGAUCAUUAUUGCAUGCAUUUGAUGAUUAUAUUUUCUUUGUUUAUUCAUUUAUUUGUUUGUUUAUUUAUUCAUCCAUUUAUUUAUUCAUUUUUUAAUUUCUAUUACGUCUUGUUUUUUUUUUUCUUUCUUUCUUUCAUUUAUUUACCUACUUAAUAGAGAAUUGUUUAGAUAUUAAAUAUGCAUACAACCCCCUUAUUGAAUGAUGGAAUUGUACAAUCUGAUAUCUCAUUUUCUCUUUCAUUUUCUUUUAAUCGUAUUUCACUUUAUUACCAAUUUCAUGACUUUCAUUAGUUGCUUCUCUUUUCCUUUGAUUUUUUAAUCUUAUCUUAUUUUGUUUUGCAUAAGGAGCACCAUCUUGGGGAGUACAAGAGGAUCUACAUUACUGGUUUGAUCAACAUAUGUUUGAGACUAAAAGCCUUCAAGAUGGCAAAAGAUGGUCAUCACAGCCCCAUGCUUCUUCUUCCCAUCUCUCAUAAUUGAAGCCUCUGUACAAAACUUCAUCAUAUCCUGAACAAUAGCAGCCACAGCAGUUGCAGCCACAGCAGCUGCAGCCACAGCAACUGCAGCCACAACAGCUGCAGCCACAGCAGCUGCAGCGACAGCGGCAACCACAGUUAAUGCUGCAACAGCAGCCACAGCAGCAUAGACUGCAUCAUCCAGUUCAACCUUCAUUUGGUCAUUUAUCAGGGUUGCAGCCCCAACUAUUUAAUCCCCAUCUUUCCCCAGCUCCACUCAUCAUGAACAAAUAUGAAGCAAUGCUUGGGAUAGGUAAUCUGAGGGAUCAAAGACCCAAGUCAAUGCAAAAAGGUAGACCAAAUCAUCGGGUUUCUCAACAGGGCUUGGAUACUAGCAGUCGGAAGAGUGAUGUUGGUGGCCACAGUUCAGAUCCAAGUAUAUGACAGCUGAUGAAAUCGAAAGUAUCCUUAGAAUGCAACGUUGCGGAACAGAUGGAUGAGUAGAAAGGAAAAUAGCAUGAAAAUAGAAAGGAAGUGACCACUUUGUGCACAACACGCAUAUAGUGGGCUGUAAGGGGGAUUCUUUUUUGUUUAGAAAGAAAAGUCAACUUGUAUCACUUACUAAACGAGAUGUGGCUGCAUCCUUGAGGGAAUCUCCCAAUGAGCCACCAUGUAUGCACUUUCCUUAUCCAUGUGCAUUGAAAAAGGAUAUAGAAUAUUCAAUAGAGGAAAGGUGCUGCCAUAUAGAAGGAAGGUGCUGCCAUAUAAACAUGUCACAGAGAGAACACACGGUGGACUUUUCUUUUGGGAGCAGAAAUUCACAUACAAAAAGUAAUCUUUUUUAGAGGAGAUGAACACACGCAAGAGUUUUUUUUUGGGAGCGGUAGAGGACCUGAACGACUAAUUGGGCUGCCAUUUUGACACAUCAAGAAAGUAUUUUUCCAAUACAAUACAGGUUAGUUUUCGAUUUUUGAUACCGUAUUUCCUUUUUUUUUUAGUUUGGGUUUUAGUUGUUUGGUUUAAUUAAUUGUUUGUGAUAAAUUCUUUUAAAUCUCGAUUUCGAACAAUCUUUUAUUUUUCUUAUAUUAAAUGUCUAUCUUUUAUGAUUGCAAUUCAUUAGUUCUAUGCUAGUUUAUUUUUAAUUUACAUGAAAGUUUAAAUAAAGUUUAUAUUUUUAAUUCCAAUUAGUUUAUUUUUAAAUUUGAAUGAGUUAUCGAUCUUAAUUAUUUAGUUUAAUUGACCUUGUGAGAUAAAAUUUAUAUUUUUAAUUCUAAUUAGUUUAAUUUUAGUUUAUUUUUAAUUUGAAUGAGUUAUCGAUCUUAAUUCUUUAGUUUAAUCGACCUUGUGAGAUAAAAUUUAUAUUUUUAAUUCCAAUUAGUUUAAUUUUAGUUUAUUUUUAAUUUGAAUGAGUUAUCGAUUUUAAUUCUUUGGUUUAAUUGUCCUUGUGAGAUAAAAUUUAUAUUUUUAAUUCCAAUUAGUUUAAUUUUAGUUUAUUUUUAAUUUGAAUGAGUUAUUGAUCUUAAAUCUAUUAGUUUAAUUGGACUUGUAAGGUAAAGUUUAUAUUUUUAAUUCCGAUUAGUUUAAUUUUAGUUUAUUUUUAAUUUGAAUGAGUUAUUGAUCUUAAAUCUAUUAGUUUAAUUGGACUUGUAAGGUAAAAUUUAUAUUUUUAAUUCUAAUUAGUUUAAUUUUAGUUUAUUUUUAAUUCGAAUGAGUCAUUGAUCUUAAUCUAUUAGUUUAAUUGGUCUUGUAAGGUAAAGUUUAUAUUUUUAAUUCCGAUUAGUUUAAAUUCUAGUUUAUUUUUAAUUUGAAUGUGUUAUCGAUCUUAAUUCUUUAGUUUAAUCGAUCUUGUGAGGUAAAGUUUACAUUUUUAAUUCCAAUUAGUCUAAUUCUAGUUAUUCAUGUGUUUCUUGAAAUCUAAAUGUUAGUUUUUGAAUGAUAAUUUUGUUAGUUUGUUUGAUUAGGAAGUCAUAAAUUUGUUGUCUUAGUGAUUGUUGGUCAAUUUUUUUUUAGGACCACUGGAAACCCAUGAAGGUUGGCCUUUACUCUCACCACUUUAAUUGAUAAGAUUUUCUAAAAUCUUUAUUUCGUGAUCUUUGUUUCCUUUUGUUUUGAUUGAUAUUUUGUUUUCUAUUUUUGUUAUUUUAAAAAUUAAUUUCUUUUAUUUUAAAACAAAACUCUUUUUCUCAAAAAAACCCUUUUUAAAAUUUUUUUUUUAUUAUUCAUUUAAAGCCUCUAGAAUCAAAAUCUAUUUUCUUUUUUAAAAAAUAACAUGCAACCAUAUCUUAAUCAGUUUGCAUCCUUCUCAAUUUUCAACAAAAAUAUCCUUCUCAAUUUUCAACAAAAAUUUUGGUUUUAAACAAAACGCGAAUCAAAGCUUGUGGUCCCAAAUAAAUGGAACAAUUUUAGGCUAAAUUCAUGUAUAUUAAUUUGGGGAAUUGGUGAAACCCCUACAUAAGAAAAUCUUUUCAAAAUUUACUUUUGCUACCACCCUACUAUUUAUCAUAAUCAUAUUUACUUUUUUUCUUUUUAGGAAUUGUAUACAAGAUAUGUAUGAUAAUUAAUUAUUCCGAGUUCUGAUAAUUUUUGCUAAUUAAUUAGAUAAGCAUGCUAGGAUUUAUUAUUUAUUAUCUAUUAUCUAUUAUCUAACCCUCAUGUUCUGAGGAAGUGCAUUAGGAGUUAUAUAUGCUAUCCAGGUACGUUCCCAAAAUCUCAUGAAUAUGCAUGUCAUUACCCUUGUUUGAUGCCAUACUUGAUUGCCUCGAUGCUUGUUUGAUCAUCCUUGAUAAAAUGCAUGUCGUGUGUCAUAUUUCUGAAUUAACCAUUGAUGUUUAAUGAUAGUGCUUAAGAAGUGGUUCAGGUACGCACCCUAACUCUCCUUUAUUGUGAUUGAUCUCCUUAUUUAGCAUGCUACUUUCUGAAAAUCACCUAGCUUACUUAAGUAUCCAUAAUUAAUCAAUUAAUUGCCUCAUUUCCCCAAUUUAGUCAGUAAAGACCUCUUUAGGGCUUAGAAGGGUGCUACCUCCUAGAGGUACCUUCCCAAUAAGUAACCUGAUCCCCGGACCUAGACUCGGGUUUUUCAAAGACAUGUUUUUUUCAAAAAUUAUGGAGUCACAUUUUAGGGUUUUUCUUUCUUGUUUUAUUUUCCCUUUAAAAUAAAAAUAAAAUAAGUGGCGGCUCCAACUUUUCCAAAACUAAAUAAUUUUUCACAAAUAAAAAAAGAGUCUCGCCAAUCGAGUGGGGACGCAUGUGAAAAAUGCAGGUCCACAGAGAGGUUUCUUGAGGUGGACAAGGUCAGAAGCAAAGAGCCUUUCCCUACUUUUUGGGGUUGGUUCCUUGAGUUCUUAGGAAGAACUUAGUUAACGUGUGAAUUCAUUCAGGGUAAUUUAUGUAAGAUUUUCUAGAUUUUGCAAGUGAAUGCACCUUAGCUUUUCCUAUUGUAUUUGUGUUUUUUUAGGUUGAUUAUUUUAUUGAUUGUCACCACUCAAGGAAUGGAAGCAAUAGGGUCUCUAGAUGUAGUGCCUAAAGGCAAGCAUACAGGCGUUGUUAGGAGUGUGCUUCCCAUGUCCAACAAGCAUAUUGACACCACCCAAAGCCAAGGCAUCUUUGGACUAGGAGUUCUAGCUUCUACUUAUGUGGACUUUGUAGAUGCAGUCUGGCUCUUCGAAAUAUUUAUUGUUAUGUAGUAGUUAUACACAUGUACUUUGUUUAAGUGAAUUGAUUUUUGGAUUUUUACUUAAAUCAAAUUUAAGGGUAUGUUGUUUAAUUUACUAGAGAUCUCUUGUUUGUAAUUCUCGUUAUCAUAUAUAGAUCUUUGUUAGUAUUUGCCAAUUUCCUCAAUAGCAACUGUAUUAGUUAUCAAUGGAAUGAAUCUUGAGUAACUUGUAGUAUCAUUUUUGGUUUUGAAUUGGCUAAUCUUUUUUGGAAGAAUGAAUUAGAUAUAUGAGCUUGAUUGCAAGCAAUAGUUGAGUUUGUUUUGAUCUUGGGGUAUUUGCCUUAUUGAUAGGACAUAGAUUUUGGGUCCAAAUAGUUGGAAAUUGAUGAGCUUAACCAGGACAUAGAUUUUAUCCCCUUGGGAGAACCACAACACUAACCAGUGUUCCUACAAAAGCUAAUAACCAUGAUUUAGAAAUGUGAUUUCCCUAAAGGGAAGCAUUUCUAAUCUUAUUUGAAGGGAAACUUUGAUGUCUUCCUUAAUACACUAGAAUAUUAAUUUAAAAACAACAAUUAAGGUUAUAUUAACUAUUAUAAUAAUUUAUAAAUUACAUAAAUAUGAUAAUAACUAUUAAAAUAAAAGUAUUAAACAUAAAAAUGUUUAAUUCUGUUGGGUAAAAACUUCAUAAAUAUUUUAUUAUUGAACUUCUAUCAUAUGAUCAAACAUAGUGAUGAUCCUUAGUUGGAUUAAUUAACACUUGUUUCAUAAAUUGAACAACAUAUAACAUGAUCAAUAAACAAACAAGUAAACAUCAUACUAGAUAAAACUAUCUCUUAAGAUUUCAAUUAUUACAUGUUUAAAUUACAAAUCAUAUUUUUGCAACUUUCGUAAAGUUAUGCAAUAGAUAUAAUUAAAAUUAUGAAACAUUGAAAAUGUAUAUUGAUUCAUUAUUCAAAUUCAUCAUAUCAUAUAUAUACUUUAGUUGUCCAUAAGAUCAAAUAAUAACCAAAAUUCGAAAAAUAUGUUUUAUGAUCCAAAAUUGAUUGACACUAAUAUCAAUUGUUACAUAAACUUUAUGUGAAAUAAUUAUUUUGGAAAAUCAAUUUGGAUGCAUAAAGCAUAAUAGUUAUAAGAAAUAAAGAAAUGACAAAAUAAUAAUUAUAUUUUUGUCUUAAUCCAUGAUACCGAUAACACUUUUAAAGUGAGUUCGAGUCACUUUGUGAAUUGUUGGGUCAAGGUAUUCAACUCAUCAUUCUCAUUUAGUAGAUGAGACAAUUGUGUGGUAUAUGUUGUUAUAAGCAAAACAACUAAAAACAUAAGAAUACAAUACAACUUAGGACCUUAACUUUAAAAAAAGAUUUAUAACUCUUAAUCUUCUCAUAAAAGAUUAUAUGAGAGUUAUACUCAUUAUUUUUAAACAUUAUAUAUAAAUUAAUGGACAAUAGUAAACUACCAACUUGAAUACAUUCAUGUAAUUAUAUAAAUUACACUUUUUCAUCUUCCUCUAUUAGUCAUAAACUUUAUAUAUAAAUUAAAUCUCAUAAUGAUGGAGUUACAAAAGUUGUAAUACCAUAUUCGUAUAAAUGAAAAUUUUCUAACUCCAUAUUUAUAAUUUUAAUUUUCUAUGUUAGAAGUUGAAUUUGUUCCACAUCGCCAAGUUACCGGGUUAUUAUGUUGUUUAUAUAUGUGGAUUGGGCACCCUCUCCCUUUAAGCAAGCUUUUAGGGAUGAAUUAUAUUCAAACCCAUUUAACAUGGUAUCAGAGCUUGGUUUGACUGGGGGUCGUGGGUUCAAGCCACCUCUUCGCAAUUCGUAUGUUUGUUCCUCAUUUGCAUGUUUGAAAGUCUAGAAAAGGGUAUUUGCAUUUGUUUGUUUGUCCCUUCACGUGUGGAUAUGGGGCCACACAUAAGAUAUGGUGUUAAAAAGCAUGAAAUGUAUAUUGAACCCAAAUCUUAUAAGUUUAAGCUUUUAGGAAAAUUAGUAAUUCAACAUUCUAUACAUAAAAUUAUUUGAUGUCCAAUCAAUUGAUUCACCUACCUAUCAAUUAAUAUACUUUUAAAUAAAAUAUAUUUCAAUCCAUUACACAAAUAUAAUUAAAACAAAGUACUAUAAUAAUAUGAGUAUGUGACAAAUAAAUAAAAUAAAAAUAAUCACAUGUUACAUGUAAACUAUAUUCAAAGGAAAAACCACAAGUCAUCCCCACUAUUAAACAAUCCAUUGUAUAAUGAUCAAUUACAAAGACCAAGUAUUACCAAACUUAAAAGUAUCUAAAUCAUACUCACUUUGCACAUUUUCUUUAUACUUGGAUCCUUUAAACUCAUUUAUCCCAAUGUGGAAGCAUCUUGAGUUCUAAUCAAGGAAAUCAACCUUUACUUCAUCAAGUUAAAGUCUCUUUAUAUCAUUGACAACCAUAUCAAGAUUUCUUUUGUUGGUUGCUUUCAAAGUCCCACUAGAAUUAGAUUGAAAUUUUUAUAAUCUCUAGAACUUUAACAUAUUAAUUCUUCAAUGAGUCAAUCAAAUAUUAAGUUUUAUCUCCAUAGAUGGACCUCAAUGAAUUUUUCGACAAAGGUGUUAACACUAAUUUCAUAUUAGUAAAAAAAAAUCAUGUGACACAUAUUGAUAUAUAUAUAUAUAUACUAAUUUCAUAUUCAUAGAUUGAAUUCAUGAGAAAAUUAUUCUUAAUUUUGUAAAAAUUAUAUAUAUAAGAAAGUUUUUAGGCUUACUAAAACACAUUACUAACCAAGUGGCAAUAUAUUUAUAAUUUAGGUCUCAUUAUUUUGUAAUCAAGUUUCAUUCAUUUGUAUCAUAUAUGAGUCCUAUUAUGUCAUACCUUACUCUUAUUACAUUGUACUUUGAUCUUAUUUGUUUAAACAUCGAUUUCAUUUCUUUAUAUGUACAUCACAUUUAUUUAUAUCUCAAUCUUAAUUAUUUGUAUCUUUAUUUAACAGUUUAGAUUUCAUUACAUAUUUUUAAAAUUUUAAUUUGAAAUUCGAUAUCUUAGUAUUUUUCUAAAAUAGCUACCUAUAAUCCUUGUAGAGUACUCAAAAUUCACUCCAACCCAUAAAAAAAAAUGACCUCUCUUCGUAAGUUGCUAUACUCAUUGCUAAACUAUAAUUCCAAAAUUAGCAGAACUUUUCAUACUUAUUCUAGGCAAUUAGAGUUGAGAUGUUCCGGGCAUAUACCAUAUUCUUUCAAGAUUUGAAAGAAAUGUUACGAUUUCAGCAUUAAAUAAUGCAUGUCGAUUAACAAUAUUGCUCAGAUUCUUUAGGCAAAGGUCCACAGACAAAAAAAUUAUUUAUUUAUUUUCUGAACCACCCCUGAAAUUGACACCUCCCAUACAGUCUGAUCUGCAUUUCUGUGGCACUAUUUCCCUUAUUCCUAACCAUAAAUCUGCUGCCAUCUCAAUAAUUCACAUCCUUAUCCACUCCUUAUCUAGGGUUGUAACACUUUUUUCAAAAAGAUUUUUUUUUUUUUUUUUCGAAGGGGUGGAUAAGGGUCCUGAGACAAGCUGUGGUAUAAUUAUAAACCCACUUGGGUAAUGGUUUCAUUGUCAGGGUAAUUCUAUUUAAGGUGAAAAUCAGCUGGGUCUAUCAUUCUUGUUUCCAUGUGACUGUUUCCAAGGAGAACUCAACCCUCAAAUCCAUCGAGCAGUCAUAUAAAAAUACACGCAGAUUUCAUAUCUUGAAGCUUGUCCUGUGUUCAGAUCGGAUAACUCACUCAUAUGCCUAAUCACUAAUCGCCAACUUGAGUGUAAAAAAAGCGUGGGGCGAUAUUAUUUGUAUAUGGGUUUGACUGUUUGAGAGAGAAAGGUGGGGUGUCCCUUGGAGGAGUCCAAAGGCCAUUUUUGAACCUGCCUUUGAUUAUCGCCAUGGCAAAUCAACAGCUUGUAGUAUAUAUAUAUUAAUGGAGACCAAGACUCAAAUAGAGAGAGAGACGCGGGGAUGCGAUAAAGAGAACAGUAUAGCCAAGAGUAUAUAAGCAUUUCUCUUGCUGUAAUGGUGAUUCAGAGACUGGAAAUGUGUAUAUCACUGCUGAAAAUGGCAGUAGAGUUUGUGCUUGUUUUCGCGGAGGCAGUCGGGCUAGUCAUCAACCACAAUGCCACGCCGCUUUUGGCAAACUCAGCCUCAGUUGGCAAUGAUGUUUCUGUCCCUUUUAUCGGUUUUCUUCUUUGAAUUCUUCGUCUUGUAGUUUCCUUCCUUACCAGAAUGCUCAUUGGCCAUUGUAUAUGUUGAGGGUUCUUUUUUGCCUUGAUAGAUUUUCUAAAGGAUGUGCAUGUUUGAUAGGAGAGAGUAUAUAUACACAUCUAUGUAAACUUUGAUUAAAUUUUGUUCUGGGUGAGCUUCAUUUUCUGCAAAUUCAUUUGCUGAUAGCUUUGGAAACGAAUCUUCAGUUGUUUGGGUGCUGAUUAUUUGCUUGCUUCACACGAUUUUAUGUGCUGUUCCUUUGGUAAUAAUCUUGUUGGGUGGAUCAAGGAGAAGAGCGAAGAUCUGAGGGAAAAUAGAGUCUGGAGAAAGAAAAGAUGUAAUGAUGAUUAAGAAAGGCUUUAAUAUACUUGCAAGAUCAGGAAAAAAUAUUUCUUGGGUAUCAAUUAUUUUCUUGCUUGAUAUGGGUUUGAUACUCUUUUUCAAUUGGUGAUCAUUCUGGGAAGAUCAAGAAGAAGAAAAUGGGGUCUAGAUGAAGAAAAGCUAUAAUGGCGAUUAUUAAGUGGAAUCAGAUGAAAUAAAAGUCUGUUUCCAUCAUUCUUAAUAUGGUUUCUUUUGUCAAAAAUGGAAGAUGACUUGAUUUUCAUAGUCCCAGCAGGACUUUAGUACUCAUCAAACUCAUAAAUUUUGAACAACUUUGAGCUAACCUUCUGCAUUAAUUUGGUGCAUCUGCGCAGUUGCAGAGUAUGAACACCCACAAAAUCUUAAUAUGAAUCUUUUGGGGCAAUAGCUUCUAUAUAUGAUGGAUGAUAAGAACAAAGCAAAUCUUGGGUUCUCCAUGGGCACGAUCAUUUAUCCGCCAUAUAAAAUGCAGAUUUUCCUAACACCAACCCCUUAUUUUAAUAAAGUCAAGUUAUUUUAAGGCCCCCAAUAUUAGACAUGCCUUAGAAUCAUUGGGUCUGUGAUUAAAAAUGUAGUAAUAUCAUUUAAAAUACCUAACACUGAAAUUUUGAUAAUUUUGAAUGCCAUAGUGUGGAUUUGAAGAAAGAAAUCGCAUCCAAGAUCUCUUCCUUUUCCUGGGAAACAUUAGUCUUGGUCAAUUAUGAACUGUUACACGUUGCCUAUCAUGGUCAUAUUUAUAUUAGCUUUGAUUUCUAUGGGGGAUAUAAUUUAUUUGUAUGCUAAUCAUAGAGGUGAUACAUGUGAUCCACAUGUCAUAUUUGGACUUGGAAGCAAUCAUUGGAUUCCUUUGAUGAACUGGCAAUGGAAGAAUACUAAUUGCUCCGGUCCCUUUCUUUUUUCAAAGUAGGAUGAUCAGGUCCUUUGAUCCCUUCGACUCCCUCUGGCUGUUUUUCUUUGUUCUUUUUUCAAUCAUCCAUAGCUUAAAAUUAAAGCCUUGAUGCCCUCCUCGACUUUCCCAAGAUAAAACACCUUAUCUUCACUUUAUUUCUCUUCCCUUUAAAUUUGAUUUUAGAUCUGAAAUCCAGGGCUUAUGACCCUGUAGAAGAAAGACAGAUAUGAAGCUUGGGAUGAUUUGAACUUCAGUUUGAUUUUCUGCACACUCUGUUAAAACUCCUGAAAUAUAGUUGUAUAUUGCAAUACAUUUAAUUGUUUGAUACAUCUGAACUAUGAUGUUCUAUUAGUAAAAAUUUCUUUGAAUCAAUCCACGGCUCAAAGUACCAAUUUCUAUUGAAACUUUUUUUCUUUUCCUGCUCAUUCAAUUGUUUCAUUUUCCACAUAAUGGUAUGACAACAUCAAGAAUACUUCUCAGCAAUUGCCUGCAGGUGAACCCAAAGCUCUUUUGGCUUAGAGAUCAUGACCAUGUGAUCAGAUCCUUUAAUCUCUUUAACAGCAUCAGGUGGGUUUUUUUCAAUCAUCCAGAGUUGAAAAUCCCUUUUCCCCAGCUUGUCUUCCUCUGAAAUAAUAAAGACACGUUUAACCGAGGCAUAUUUCUUCGACAACAUGAGCUCAUUUGACAUGUCUUCUUCAAUGAACAAGCGUACGGGUCUCAUCAACACAGUCCCUAGUGCCAAGUCCUGGAAUAUUUGUGCCCGAAAUGAUAUGACAACAACAAUGAAGGUCUCAUGAUUUUGGUUGUAAGGCCUUAAUAAAUGGAGUUCUCACCUCAGUUGGGCUCAACUGAUACACAUUCAGUGAUAAGAACAAGGGGCCAAAGCUGAAAGUGGUGGGAGGAUUGUUGGGGCCAUUAUCAUAUGUGAACUGGCUGUCUAGUAGAGGACCUUGUCUCCUGAGUGACUUCAAUAAGAAGUAGAAACCAGGCUAAAAGUCAGAAACAGGGGAAGCCUUCCCCUCUUAAUCAGCAAGUAAAUUUCUGUAAAAGAAAAAUAGUAUGUAUGAAGUACCUCUUGAUUGAGAGUGGAAAUGUUGAGAGUGGGACCAGGCAUUGAGGCAGUAACAAAAACAGCUACAGAAACCUUUUCUGGGAACUUCUCCAUGGCCUGAGAAAUGGCCAAUCCACCCAAGCUGUGUCCAACGAGAACCACCCUCUCAUCUGCAGGGAGUGACUCCACGAAGUCCCUCAGUGGCUGGAAAUACCAAGAAAUUGAUCGCAGAUCACCCACUUGUUUUGGGUUAAUUCCAGAAGCAGCCAAGUCCAGAGCAGUAACUUUGUGGCCAGAUGAUUUUAGUAGUGCCACAAUCUUGUACCAAGACCAGGCACCAUGGCAAGACCCAUGAACUAGAACAAAGUGCUUGACGGGAUUAGCCUGUCUCCCCUCUGAUGCCAUUGGAUACACUGAAGAAACAAGAAAAAUCAGAAAGGAAACAAAAAUCAUAUGCUUCUUCCUUGCUUCCAUACUCCUUUCCUGUUACAGAGAUGGUCAGCACCCCAGCAUUUUAAAGGGCACAAUUGGGUAGGUUUUCACUACAACUACUAAUCUAAUUGAUUAAAAAUUUUCCCGUGAAAUUGACUCUAGAAAUAAAAUAAGGACUAAGGAUUCAAGAACACGUACACUUUGACUGCCAGAGUUUAUGUCUUUUCAUAGAUGACACAUGCACCUGCGUCACACUCUUUUUCAAUGAUAAAGAAGUUAUGCAAAGGAAGAAAGAAUGAAAUAUACAGAGUCAAGUAGUUAACUCCUCCCCUUGAAUUCUUCUCUUGCCCGGAUUGGUUUGUAACUGCAAACAUUUUCUUUUCCCAAUGUGAUCUGUGGAUUGAGUUCUGAUCUCAAUUUGUUUUUGGCAUUUUUGGUUUUGCUUCUGCAAAUCUUGAGAUGUAUCUUUCAAUUAAUAUAAGUUGUGCAGUUAAGGUUUUUGGACAUAUAAAAUGUUAGCCAAACCUUUCCCGUGGCAGGUUGAAGGUACUUUGGGGUAGGCUUGGUCAUGCUUGAUACCUCAGUCUGACUCAAACAUGAUGUUUUCACCCAUUUGAAUUGAUCAAAGUUGUGUUGACUGGCAUGAUUCCUUUAAUAAAGAAGUUGUUUUAGGAUUAAGGCGUACAACACAAAUUUGACUUAAGUAGAUCUAUUUAAUUAUUGUGUAUUAACAUAAUUAUAAUCAAUUGAGUCGAAAAUGAAUUAAAUUAAAAAGUUAAUUUUAUUGAUUUAAAUAAGACCUAAUUCAACCUGAUUAUUAAAUUACUCAACUUAUUAUAUGAUUUGAACACUGCCCACCAACAUUAAUUGUAACCCGUGCUUUGAGUUCAGGUGGCAGCAAGAGUUUGGCCUUUGUUUUGAGUGUUGGAUGAAUGUUGGAUUAACCUUUCCCAUGGCUGUCAAAUUCCUCAUAAAUUAUUGGUGAUUGUAAUAAUUUCCUCAAAAAGUAAUGGUGCUAUAUGCUUCUUUAGGAUCCAUUGAUCUUAAUAAUUCUCUUCCUGGUAUAGGAAGAAAGUGACUAUUCCAUUACUGCAGCUUUCAUUGCUGCUUAUUUAUCAAGCAAAUUACAUUAUUAUUUUCACACCAAAUCUCCAAAUUCACCAUGUACUUAUCCUAUAUACUGCAUGGUGAACUUCAGAGAGCUAAAACAAGCUCUUAUUGAAUACAUGAUAGAUGAUGUCCCACUGACCCUUUUACUCUGAUACCUUGAAAUGAGAAAUUUGGAGGUUUUCCACAUCAAGCUUCUUGAAAUUACUGCGCCUUCUCGCAGCAAAGAACUUUCCCCAGUUGUAUGCUCUGUACUUUGGCUUUUCUCCCUUCGUCAGCUCCUCCAAGGGCUUCACCCAAACAUGGUGCCCGGGACUGAAAAAGACCGGAAUUGAGAACCUUUCCCUCUCUGAAUUCACCGUCACCCUGUGCUCGACACUUUCAUAAGUAUCGUUGCUCCAGACCUGGUUUAAUAUCAGUAUAAUUAGCCAAAAGGGUGCAAAAUUUCUUGAUCCCAACAGUACUGAUAAGCAUGUACUUAUAAUUCAAAGUUCUUGGGUGGUACCUGAAUUAUAUCC
rnacentral:lncRNA from 1 species